UUUUUUUUUGUGAAAUUUGAGAAGAGAAGAGUCAAAACUCUAUGUCAGGAUGCCUCACCAGGGCGACGAAGGGACUGAGGAGUAAAAAGAAGUCCUACUCUCCGAUAUAUAUAAUCCUAAGUGACUCAAAACAUUUUUCUAGACUCAACAACGCCAGCGAUUCGAUCAAGCAGGGGGCUCCUAAGGUCGGGGAAGGCUCUGAUUACCAACUUGUAACGCCCUCGAUGUGUCUAUAUCUCCCACGUGUUGAAGCACGAUUUAGCGGCAUAACCGCAUUGAAAGCAAUGUCGCAAGUGAGGUAAUAUUCACAACAACCCAUGUAAUAAAUAAGGGGAAAGAUACAUAGUUGGCUUACACUCGCCACGUCACACAAAUAGCAUAAAUAACAUUACAUUCAUCCAAAUACACUCAAGGUCCGACUACGGAACCAAAAUGAAGAUAAACCCCAAAUGCAACAUAGUCCCCGAUCGCCCCAACUGGGCACCACUACUGAUCAUCUGGGAAAGACACGUAGUAUCGUCCUGAGUCCUCAUCAAACUCCCACUUGAGCUUAGUUGAAUCUCCUGGAAUGGUAUCAUCGGUCCCUGCAUCUGGUUUUGGAAGGAAUCUGUGAGUCACGGGGACUCAGCAAUCUCACACCCUCGCGAUCAAGACUAUUUAAGCUUAUAGGAAGGGUAAAAGGUAUGAUGUGGAGCUGCAGCAAGCGACUAGCAUAUAUGGUGGCUAACAUACGCAAAUGAGAGCGACAAGAGAAGGCAAAAGCAUGGUCGAUGAACUAUGAUCAAGAAGUGAUCCUAGAACAACCUACGUUCAAGCAUAACACGAGACCGUGUUCUCUUCCCGGACUCCGCCGAAAAGAGACCAUCACGGUUACACACGCGGUUGAUGCAUUUUAAUUAAGUUAAGUUUCAGGUUUUCUACAACUGGACAUUAACAAAUUCCCAUCUGCCCAUAACCGCGGGCACGGCUUUCGAAAGAUCAAAUCCCUGUAGGGGAGUCCCAACUUAGCCCAUCACAAGCUCUCACGGUCAACGAAGGAUAUUCCUUCUCCCAAGACAAUCCGAUCAGACUCAGCAUCCCAGUUACAAGACAUCUCGACAAUGGUAAAACAAGUCCAGCAACACCGCCCGAAUGUGCCGACAAAUUCCGAUAGGAGCUACACAUAUCUCGUUCUCAUAGCACACUCAGAUGAGACAUCCUACGAGUAAAACCAACCCUCAAGUUGCCCCGAGGUGGCCCCGCAGUCUACUCGGUCAAACCAACACUCAGAGGAGCACUGGCCCAGGGGGUUUAAAUAAAGAUGACCCUCGGGCUCCGAAAACCCAAGGGAAAAAGAGGCUAGGUGGCAAAUGGUAAAACCAAUGUUGAGCAUUGCUGGAGGAGUUUUAUUCAAGGCGAACUGUCAAGGGGUUCCCGUUAUAACCCAACCGUGUAAGGAACACAAAAUCAAGGAACAUAACACCGGUAUGACGGAAACUAGGGCGGCAAGAGUGGAACAAAACACUAGGCAUAAGGCCGAGCCUUCCACCCUUUACCAAGUAUAUAGGUGCAUUAAUAUAAACAAUAUAAUAUAAUGAUAUCCCAACAAUAAACAUGUUCCAACAAGGAACAAACUCCAAUCUUCACCUACAACUAGCAACGCUAUAAGAGGGGCUGAGCAAGGCGGUAACAUAGCCAAACAAUGGUUUGCUAGGACAUGGGGGGGUAGAGGUUUGACAUGGCAAUAUGGGAGGCAUGAUAAGCAAGUGGUAGGUAUUGUAGCAUAGGCAUAGCAAAAGAGCGAGCAUCUAGCAAGCAAAGAUAGAAGUAAUUUCGAGGGUAUGGUCAUCUUGCCUGCAAAGUUCUCUGAGUUGACUUGAUCCUCGUGAGCGUACUCAAUGGGCUCCUCGAUCACGUACUCGUCUCCCGUCUCUACCCAAAGCAAGAACAAUAAGCAAAAGGAACACAAUCAACCACGUGCAAUGCACAAACAACAAGAUGCAAAACAUGUCAUGAUAUGCGGGAUGCGGUAUGCGAUGCAUAUGCAUGAUUCGGAAAGGAAUGAUUGACCCUGGCCUCAACUUGGAAAACCAAGAGUGCCACUGGAAAGGUGAUUUGAUUUCGGUCGAAAUCGAUAUAAAGAUCACCGGAAUCGGAUGCACGGUUUGGAAAUGACAAGCAAAACAAAUAUGGCACCGGUCUGCGAUUAACAACACGAGACGAUCUAAAUGCAUCAAGAACAACAUGCUACAGCACUCCAACAUGGCAAAAAAUUUACAUGGCAGGGAUCCACUCAAGAUGCUUGACAAAAGAUGAACACUGAGCUACGGCUAAUUCACUCAUUAGUAGGUUCAAACAAGCAUGGCAAAAGUGCAAAAGAUAACAGGUUACAGACUUAGCGGAAUAAUCAAUAAGUCAGGAAUUUAACAUCAGGAAGCAAAGUUUAGAGCACGAUAACUACAUGCUACAGGAACAAAUCAUGGCAAAGCAAAGCAUGGCAUGAAGCUACUCAAAGCAUACAACAAAAGUCCCUUACUGACCAUAAGCCAAAAGGGAUCAGAAAAUACAAUUGCAACCACGUGAACAUAGCAAUUAUCGUUAACAGAUUCAGACUUGGUGAAAAACUGGAGCAUGGCAAAAUAGAUAUCAAGUAGGCAUGUUUACGGGCUCGAUGCACUCACUACAAGGCAUUGCAUGAUAGACUAAGCAUACACCCAGCAAGUAGACAUGGCAUAGAAGCUAAAUAUGGCAAGAACAACAACAUAGCAUGUAUGGAUCAAUUACAACAAGCUCGGCAAAAUUGCUAAACAUGUUAACAAUCUGCUAGGAACAUUUUAUAGCAAAAGUAGAGCUCGAUUGACUCAAGCUAGGGUGCUCCAUAAAUGCAAACAAAGCCAUGAAUGGAUAGAGCACCACAAUAUCUACAAAACAUCCUUACUAAUCAUGCUCAAAAGAUGCACGGAUCACUAGGUAUCAACAUGAACGCAUGGCAUAAAAAUAAGGACAGGGCAGAGACUUAGAAUAUUUCUAAGUCCCUGAAAUCGGCAACAUUAAGUAAGCUACUUUGCAUGCUUGUGCUAGUCACCACAGAGAUCACAAAAAUACAUGGCAUACACCCCUGUAAAGAUGGCAUGACAUACUUCAAAACACAUGUAGAGCUCAGGAUCAUAGCAUGCACACAUUAAUCAUGGCAAAAAUGACAAAAGAGCAAAAGCUGAUAACAGAUCAGAAACUAACAUCACAUAGCCCUCUUCCAACAGCAUUUAGGGCAUCAAGAUGAGCUCAAAUGAAAAUGAUGCAAUGAGAUGAAAUUAGGUAAUCGACGAGACAAACAUUUUGAUAUGCUACACGCACGAACCGGAGCAAAGGUGAUGAAGUUAUGAUGCGUCAAAGAAAGCAAAAAUAAUUAGGGUUUCAGGAAAAAAAGUCAACCCUCGAAUCUCAGAUCUGGAUCCGGUUGCACUGUAGCAGCUCGAGGUCGCCGGAGAAAAUGGAGCUGCGGUGGCCGGACUUGUCGUUCAAGGAGCAGGAAGGAGACGGAGCCGGAUCCGGGGUGUGGCUCGCCGGAGUUGGACUUGGCGCGGUGGAGGAGCUCGCCGGGACUCCGGGCGGCGAGGUCAGGCGCGGUGAGGAGGAGCAAGGCGGCGGGCGGUGGUUGUCGCUNNNNNNNNNNNNNNNNNNNNNNNNNNNNNNNNNNNNNNNNNNNNNNNNNNNNNNNNNNNNNNNNNNNNNNNNNNNNNNNNNNNNNNNNNNNNNNNNNNNNNNNNNNNNNNNNNNNNNNNNNNNNNNNNNNNNNNNNNNNNNNNNNNNNNNNNNNNNNNNNNNNNNNNNNNNNNNNNNNNNNNNNNNNNNNNNNNNNNNNNNNNNNNNNNNNNNNNNNNNNNNNNNNNNNNGGGGCCGGUUGCGGGCUCCCGCGGGGCGCAGCGGCGGCGGGCGCCGGUUGCCACGUGGCGCGAGCGGAUAGGGCACGGGCGGUGGCGGCGUCUUGUCCAGCCGGAUUCGGACAUUGUCCGGCGCAGAGAUGGGCGAGGCUAGGGUUUCGCCCGGAUUUGGAAAUGGGGGGUCUAUUUAUAGAGGUAGAGGGAGCUAGGAAGCUCCAAUUGAGGUGUGGUUUGCGGCCACGCAAUCGUGAUCAAACGACCUAGGUGAUGGGAGAGGUUUAGGUGGGUUUUGGGCCACUUUGGAGGAGUGUUGGGCUGCAACACACACGAGGCCUUUUUGGUCCCUCGGUUAACCGUUGAAGUAUCAAACGAAGUCCAAAUGGCAUGAAACUUGACAGGCGGUCUACUGUAGUAAACCAAGGCCGCAUGACAAGUCUCGGUCCAAUCCGAAAACGUUUAACACCCGCACACAAAAAGAGGUAGAAAGGGAUACCGGAGGACAUAGGAGCGCCGGAAUGCAAAACGGACAACGGGGAAAAAUGCUCGGAUGCAUGAGACGAACACAUAUGCAAAUGCAAUGCACAUGAAGACAUGAUAUGAGAUGCAUGACAAAGACAAAACGACACGAAGGCAAAAACCCGACAACGAGGAAAUAAAAUAACUUAGUGCCAAAAAUGGCAAGAGUUGGAAUACAGAUAAGGCAAGUUACAUCCGGGGUGUUAUAGUUCAUGGGCCAUCGCCCCGGGAACUCCUGCAUGUUGCUGAAGGAAAUAUGCCCUAGAGGCAAUAAUAAAGUUAUUAUUUAUUUCCUUAUAUCAUGAUAAAUGUUUAGUAUUCAUGCUAGAAUUGUAUUAACCGGAAACAUAAUACAUGUGUGAAUACAUAGACAAACAGAGUGUCACUAGUAUGCCUCUACUUGAGCUCAUUAAUCAAAGAUGGUUAUGUUUCCUAACCAUGGACAAAGAGUUGUUAUUUGAUUAACGGGAUCACAUCAUUAGGUGAAUGAUCUGAUUGACAUGACCCAUUCCAUUAGCUUAGCACCCGAUCGUUUAGUAUGUUGCUAUUGCUUUCUUCAUGACUUAUACAUGUUCCUAUGACUAUGAGAUUAUGCAACUCCCGUUUGCCGGAGGAACACUUUGUGUGCUACCAAAUGUCACAACGUAACUGGGUGAUUAUAAAGGUGCUCUACAGGUGUCUCCAAAGGUACAUGUUGGGUUAGCGUAUUUCGAGAUUAGGAUUUGUCACUCCGAUUGUCGGAGAGGUAUCUCUGGGCCCUCUCGGUAAUGCACAUCACAUAAGCCUUGCAAGCAUUGCAACUAAUGAGUUAGUUGUGAGAUGAUGUAUUACGGAACAAGUAAAGAGACUUGCCGGUAACGAGAUUAAACUAGGUAUUGAGAUACCGACGAUCAAAUCUCGGGCAAGUAACAUACCGAUGACAAAGGGAACAACGUAUGUUGUUAUGCGGUCUAAUCAAUAAAGAUCUUCGUAGAAUAUGUAGGAGCCAAUAUGAGCAUCCAGGUUCCGCUAUUGUUUAUUGACCGGAGACAUGUCUCGGUCAUGUCUACAUUGUUCUCGAACCGUAGGGUCCGCACGCUUAAGGUUUCGAUGACAGUUAUAUUAUGAGUUUAUGAGUUUUGAUGUACCGAAGGAGUUCGGAGUCCCGAAUGAGAUCGGGGACAUGAUGAGGAGUCUCGAAAUGGUCGAGACAUAAAGAUCGAUAUAUUGGACGACUAUAUUCGGACAUCGGAAAGGUUCCGAGUGAUUCGGGUAUUUUUCGGAGUACCGGAGAGUUACGGGAAUUCGCCGGGGAGUAUGUGGACCUUAUUGCGCCAUACGGGAAUAGAGGAGAGAGGCCAAAAGGAAGGAGGCCUGCGCCCCCCCCCCACUGGUCUGAAUUGGACAAGGGGCGCAGCCCCCUUUUCCUUCUUCCUCUCCCCCUCUUUCCCCUUCUCCUACUCCAACAAGGAAGGAAGGAGUCCUACUCCCGGUGUGAGUAGGACUCCCCUUGGCGCGCUCCCUCCUAGGCCGGCCGCCCCUCCCCCUUACUCCUUUAUAUACGGGGGCAGGGGGCACCUCUAAACACACAAGUUGAUCUUCGUGAUCGUUCUUUAGCCAUGUGCGGUGCCCCCCUCCACCAUAUUCCACCUCGGUCAUAUUGUAGCGGUGCUUAGGCGAAGCCCUGCGACGGUUGAACAUCAAGAUCGUCACCACGCCGUCGUGCUGACAGAACUCCUCCCCGAAGCUUUGCUGGAUCGGAGCCCGGGGUGCAUCAUCGAGCUGAACGUGUGCCAAGAACUCGGAGGUGCCGGAGUAACGGUGCUUGAAUCGGUUGGACCGUGAAGACAUACGACUACAUCAACCACGUUGUACUAACGCUUCCGUUGUCGAUCUACAAGGGUACGUGGAUCACACUCUCCCCUCUCGUUGCUAUGCAUCACCAUGAUCUUGCGUGUGCAUAGGAAUUUUUUUGAAAUUACUACGUUACCCAACAGUGGCAUCCGAGCCUAGGUUUUAUAUGUUGAUGUUAUAUGCACGAAUAGAACACAAGUGAGUUGUGGGCGAUAUAAGUCAUACUGCUUACCAGCAUGUCAUUCUUUGGUUCAGCGGUAUUGUUGGACGAAGCGGCCCGGACCGACAUUACGCGUACGCUUACGCGAGACCGGUUCUCCCGACGUGCUUUGCACAAAGGUGGCUAGCGGGUGAUAGUUUCUCCAACUUUAGUUGAACCGAGUGUGGCUACGCCCGGUCCUUGCAAAGGUUAAAACAGCACCAACUUGACAAACUAUCGUUGUGGUUUUGAUGCAUAGGUAAGAUUGGUUCUUGCUUAAGCCCGUAGCAGCCACGUAAAACUUGCAACAACAAAGUAGAGGACGUCUAACUUGUUUUUGCAGGGCAUGUUGUGAUGUGAUAUGGUCAAGACAUGAUGCUAAAUUUUAUUGUAUGAGAUGAUCAUGUUUUGUAACUAAGUUAUCGGCAACUGGCAGGAGCCAUAUGGUUGUCGCUUUAUUGUAUGCAAUGCAAUCGCGCUGUAAUGUUUUACUUUAUCACUAAGCGGUAGCGAUAGUCGUGGAGGCAUAAGAUUGGUGAGACGACAACGAUGCUACGAUGGAGAUCAAGGUGUCGCGCCGGUGACGAUGGUGAUCAUGACGGUGCUUCGAAGAUGGAGAUCACAAGCACAAGAUGAUGGUGGCCAUAUCAUAUCACUUAUAUUGAUUGCAUGUGAUGUUUAUCUUUUAUGCAUCUUAUCUUGCUUUGAUUGAUGGUAGCAUUAUAAGAUGUCUCUCACUAAUUAUCAAGAAGUGUUCCCCCUGAGUAUGCACCGUUGCGAAAGUUCUUCAUGCUGAGACACCACGUGAUGAUCGGGUGUGAUAGGCUCUACGUUCAAAUACAACGGGUGCAAAACAGUUGCACACGCAGAAUACUCAGGUUAUACUUGACGAGCCAAGCAUAUACAGAUAUGGCCUCGGAACACGGAGACCGAAAGGUCGAGCGUGAAUCAUAUAGCAGAUAUGAUCAACAUAAUGAUGUUCACCAAUGAAACUACUCCAUCUCACAUGAUGAUCGGACAUGGUUUAGUUGAUUUGGAUCACGUAAUCACUUAGAGGAUUAGAGGGAUGUCUAUAUAAGUGGGAGUUCUUAAGUAAUAUGAUUAAUUGAACUUAAAUUUAUCAUGAAACUUAGUCCUGGUAGUAUUUUGCAAAUUAUGUUGUAGAUCAAUAGCUCGCGUUGUUGCUUCCCUGUGUUUAUUUUGAUAUGUUCCUAGAGAAAAUUGUGUUGAAAGAUGUUAGUAGCAAUGAUGUGGAUUGGAUCCGUGAUCUGAGGUUUAUCCUCAUUGCUGCACAGAAGAAUUAUGUCCUUGAUGCACCGCUAGGUGAUGGACCUAUUGCAGGAGCAGAUGUAGACAUUAUGAACGUUUGGCUAGCUCAAUAUGAUGACUACUUGAUAGUUUAGUGCACCAUGCUUAAUGGCUUAGAAUCGGGACUUCAAAGACGUUUUGAACGUCAUGGAGCAUAUGAGAUGUUCCAGGAGUUGAAGUUAAUAUUUCAAGCAAAUACCCGAGUUGAGAGAUAUGAAGUCUCCAACAAGUUCUAUAGCUAAAAGAUGGAGGCGAAUCGCUCAACUAGUGAGCAUGUGCUCAGAUUGUCUGAGUACUACAAUCGCUUGAAUCAAGUGGGAGUUAAUCUUCCAGAUAAGAUAGUGAUUGACAGAAUUCUCUAGUCACCAUCACCAAGUUAGUAGAACUUCUUGAUGAACUAUGAUAUGCAAGGGAUAACGGAAACGAUUCCCAAGCUCUUCAUAAUGCGGAAAUUAACGAAGGUAGAAAUCGAGGAAAACAUCAAGUGUUGAUGGUAGACAAGACCACUAGUUUCAAGAAAAGGGCAGAGGGAAGAAGGGGAACUUCAAGAAGAACAACAAGCAAGUUGCUGCUCAAGUGAAGAAGCCCAAGUCUGGUCCUAAGCCUGAGACUAAGUGCUUCUACUGCAAAGGGACUGGUCACUGGAAGCGGAACUACCCCAAGUGAUUGGCGGAUAAGAAGGAUGGCAAAGUGAACAUAAGUAUAUUUGAUAUACAUGUUAUUGAUGUGUACUUUACUAGUGUUUAUAGCAACCCCUCAGUAUUUGAUAAUAGUUCAGUUGCUAAGAUUAGUAACUCGAAACGGGAGUUGCAGAAUAAACAGAGACUAGUUAAGGGUGAAGUGACGAUGUGUGUUGGAAGUGGUUCCAAGAUUGAUAUGAUCAUCAUCGCAGACUUCCUGUACUUUCGAGAUUAGUGUUGAACCCAAAUAAGUGUUAUUUGGUGUUUGCGUUGAGCAUGAAUAUGAUUUGGUCAUGUUUAUUGCAAUACGGUUAUUCAUUUAAGUUAGAGAAUAAUUGUUGUUCUAUUUGCAUGAAUAAAACUUUCUAUGGCCAUACACACCAACGAAAAUGGUUUGUUGGAUCUCGAUUGUAGUGAUACACAUAUUCAUAAUAUUGAAGCCAAAAGAUGCAAAGUUAAUAAUGAUAGUGCAACUUAUUUGUAGCACUGCCGUUUAGGUCAUAUUGGUGUAAAGCGCAUGAAGAAACUCCAUGCUGAUGGGAUUUUGGAAUCACUUGAUUAUGAAUCACUUGAUGCUUGCGUAACAUGCCUCAUGGGCAAGAUGACUAAGGCUCCGUUCUCCGGAGCGAGCAACUGACUUAUUGGAAAUAAUACAUACUGAUGUAUGCGGUCCGAUGAGUGUUAAGGCUCACGGCAAGUAUCGUUAUUCUCUGAACUUCAUAGAUGAUUUGAGCAGAUAUGGGUAUAUCUACUUGAUGGAACAUAAGUCUGAAACAUUUGAAAAGUUCAAAGAAUUUCAGAGUGAAGUGGAAAAUCAUCGUGACAAGAAAAUAAAGUUUCUACGAUCUGAUCGCGGAGACAAAUAUUUGAGUUACGAGUUUGGCCUUCAGUUAAAAACAAUGUGAAAUAGUUUCACUACUCACGCCACCUGGAACACCACAGCAUAAUGGUGUGUGCGAACGUCAUAACCGUACUUUAUUAGAUAUGGUGCAAACUAUGAUGAAUCUUAUCAAUCUACCACUAUCAUUUUGGGAUUAUGCAUUAGAGACAACUGCAUUCACGUUAAAUAGGGCACCAUCUAAAUCCAUUGAAACGACACCGUAUGAACUAUGGUUUGGCAAGAAACCUAAGCUGUCGUUUCUUAAAGUUUGAGGUUGCAAUGCUUAUGUGAAAAAGUUUCAACCUGAUAAGCUCAAACCCAAAUCGGAGAAGUGCAUCUUCAUAGGAUACCCAAAAAGAAAAUGUUGGGUACACCUUCUAUCACAGAUCCGAAGGCAAGAUAUUCGUUGCUUUGAAUGGAUCCUUUCUAGAGAAGGAAUUUCUCUCGAAAGAAGUGAGUGGGAGGAAAGUAGAACUUGAUGAGGUAACUGUACCUGCUCCCUUAUUGGAAAGUAGUUUAUCACAGAAAUAUGUUCUUGUGACUACUACACCAAUUAGUAAGGAAGCUAAUGAUGCUGAUCAUGUAACUUCAGAUCAAGUUACUACCGAAUCUCGUAGGUAAACCAGAGUGAGAUCCGCACCAGAGUGGUACGGUAAUCCUGUUCUGGAAGUCACGUUACUAGACCAUGACAAGCUUGCGAACUAUGAGGAAGCGAUGAUGAGCCCAGAUUCCGCGAAAUGGUUUGAGGCCAUGAAAUCUGAGAUAUGAUCCAUGCAUGAGAACAAAGUAUGGACUUUGAUGGAUUUGCCCGAUGAUCGGCAAGCCAUAAAAAAUAAAUGGAUCUUCAAGAGGAAGACGGACGCUGAUAGUAGUGUUAUUAUCUGCAAAGCUAGACUUGUCGAAAAAAGGUUUUUUGACAAAGUUCAAGGUGUUGACUACGAUGAAUCUUUCUCACUCGUAGCGAUGCUUAAGUCUGUCCAAAUCAUGUUAGCAAUUGCCGCAUUUUUAUGAAAUCUGGCAAAUGGAUAAACAAAACUACAUUCCUUAAUGGAUUUAAAGAAGAGUUGUAUAUGAUGCAACCAGAAGGUUUUGUCAAUCCUAAAGGUGCUAACAAAAUAUGCAAGCUCCAGCGAUCCAUCUAUGGACUGGUGCAAGCAUCUCGGAGUUGGAAUAUACGCUUUGAUAAGUUGAUCAAAGCAUAUAGUUUUAUACAGACUUGCGAUGAAGCCUGUAUUUACAAGAAAGUGAGUGGGAGCACUACAACAUUUCUGAUAAGUAUAUGUGAAUGACAUAUUGUUGAUCGGAAAUAAUGUAGAAUUAUUCUACAAAGCAUAAAGGAGUGUUUGAAAGGAAUUUUCCAAAGAAAGACCUCGGUGAAGCUGCUGACAUAUUGAACAUCAAGAUCUAUAGAGAUAGAUCAAGACGCUUGAUAAGUUUUUUUCAAUGAGUACAUACCUUGACAAGAUUUUGAAGUAGUUCAAAAUAGAACAGUCAAAGAAAGAGUUCUUGUCUGUGUUACAAGGUGUGAAAUUGAGUAAGACUCAAAACCCGACCACGACAGAAGAUAGAAAGAGAAUGAAAAUCAUUCCCUAUGCCUCAGCCAUAGGUUCUAUAAAGUAUUCCAUGCUAUGUAACAGAUCUAUUGUAUACCCUACACUGAUUUUGGCAAGGUAGUACAAUAGUGAUCUAGGAGUAGAAUACUGGACAGCGGUCAAAAUUAUCCUUAGUGGAAUAAGGAUAUGUUUCUCGAUUAUGGAGGUGACAAAAAGGUUCGUCGUAAAGGGUUACGUCAAUGCAAGUUUUGACACUAAUCUAGAUGACUCUAAGUCUCAAUCUGGAUACAUAUUGAAAGUGGGAGCAAUUAGCUAGAGUAGCUCUGUGCAGAGCAUUGUUGACAUAGAAAUUUGCAAAAUACAUACGGAUCUGAAUGUGGCAGACCCGUUGACUAAACUUCUCUCACAAGCAAAACAUGAUCACACAUUAGUACUCUUUGGGUGUUAAUUGCAUAGCGAUGUGAACUAGAUUACUGAAUCUAGUAAACCCUUUGGGUGUUGGUCACAUGAAGAUGUGAACUAAUCACAUAAAGAUGUGAACUAUUAGUGUUAAAUCACAUGGUGAUGUGAACUAGAUUAUUGACUCUAGUGCAAGUGGGAGACUGAAGGAAAUAUGCCCUACAGGCAAUAAUAAAGUUAUCAUUUAUUUCCUUAUAUCAUGAUAAAUGUUUAUUAUUCAUGCUAGAAUUGUAUUAACCGGAAACAUAAUACAUGUGUGAAUACAUAGACAAACAGAGUGUCACUAGUAUGCCUCUACUUGACUAGCUCGUUAAUCAAAGAUGGUUAUGUUUCCUAACCAUGGACAAUGAGUUGUUAUUUGAUUAACGGGAUCACAUCAUUAGGUGAAUGAUCGGAUUGACAUGACCCAUUCCAUUAGCUUAGCACCCGAUCGUUUAGUAUGUUGCUAUUGCUUUCUUCAUGACUUAUACAUGUUCCUAUGACUAUGAGAUUAUGCAACUCCCGUUUGCCGGAGGAACACUUUGUGUGCUACCAAACGUCACAACGUAACUGGGUGAUUAUAAAGGUGCUCUACAGGUGUCUCCAAAGGUACAUGUUGGGUUGGCGUAUUUCGAGAUUAGGAUUUGUCACUCCGAUUGUCGGAGAGGUAUCUCUGGGUCCUCUCGGUAAUGCACAUCACAUAAGCCUUGCAAGCAUUGCAACUAAUGAGUUAGUUGUGAGAUGAUGUAUUACGGAACAAGUAAAGAGACACGCCGGUAACAAGAUUGAACUAGGUAUUGAGAUACCGACGAUCGAAUCUCGGGCAAGUAACAUACCGAUGACAAAGGGAACAACGUAUGUUGUUAUGCGGUCUGACCGAUAAAGAUCUUCGUAGAAUAUGUAGGAGCCAAUAUGAGCAUCUAGGUUCCGCUAUUGGUUAUUGACCAGAGACAUGUCUCGGUCAUGUCUACAUUGUUCUCGAACCGUAAGGUCCGCACGCUUAAGGUUUCGAUGACAGUUAUAUUAUGAGUUUAUGAGUUUUGAUGUACCGAAGGAGUUCGGAGUCCCGGAUGAGAUCGGGGACAUGACGAGGAGUCUCGAAAUGGUCGAGACGUAAAGAUCGAUAUAUUGGACGACUAUAUUCGGACAUCGGAAAGGUUCCGAGUGAUUCGGGUAUUUUUCGGAGUACCGGAGAGUUACGGGAAUUCGCCGGGGAGUAUAUGGGCCUUAUUGGGCCAUAUGGGAAUAGAGGAGAGAGGCCAAAAGGAAGGAGGCCUGCGCCCCCCCUCUAGUCCGAAUUGGACAAGGGGCGCAGCCCCCUUCUCCUUCUUACUCUCCCCCUCUUUCCCCUUCUCCUACUCCAACAAGGAAGGAAGGAAUCCUACUCUCGGUGGGAGUAGGACUCCCCUUGGCACACCCCCUCCUAGGCCGGCCGUCCCCUCCCCCUUACUCCUUUAUAUACGGGGGUAGGGGGCACCUCUAAACACACAAGUUGAUCUUCGUGAUCAUUCCUUAGCCGUGUGCGGUGCCCCCCUCCACCAUAUUCCACCUCGGUCAUAUUGUAGCGGUGCUUAGGCGAAGCCCUGCGACGGUUGAACAUCAAGAUCGUCACCAUGCUGUCGUGCUGACAGAACUCCUCCCCGAAGCUUUGCUGGAUCAGAGCCCGGGGUGCGUCAUCGAGCUGAACGUGUGCCAAGAACUCGGAGGUGCCGGAGUAACGGUGCUUGAAUCGGUUGGACCGUGAAGACGUACGACUACAUCAACCACGCUGUGCUAACACUUCCGUUGUCGAUCUACAAAGGUACGUAGAUCACACUCUCCCCUCUCGUUGCUAUGCAUCACCAUGAUCUUGCAUGUGCGUAGGAAUUUUUUUGAAAUUACUAUGUUCCCCAACAGUUGCGUGGGCGGCCGGUGAGCAGACCUAGCUACCUCCUUAAAAAGGCAGGAACUUACCAGUCCAACCCGGCGUGCGCCGCUCAGUCGCUGACGUCUAAUAAGCUUCGGCUGAUGUAUACGACGCAGAACGCCCAUACAAUGCCCACGUGAUGGUUAGUGCUAUCAGGCCAGAGGCCCCUCGGAUCAAAUAUCCAAACCGUUGUGGAUUAGGAACGCGCGGUAACGAGCAGAGACUCACGAUCGAUGUGACCCUGUCGCCCCGUCUCGAGUACUUGCGGCAAGGGCUAAGAAUGCCCGGCCACGCCUCGUAAGUAUCUCGUGGGCACCUUCUAGGUCAACCCGACUCCACAUCACUCGCUAUUAAGCUCGCGCGGGUACACCUCAGGGUUGCCCGUCUUUAGUAACAUGGUUCAGUGUAAAGUCAUAGUAAUCAUAGUAACUAGGUGUCUAACACCAAGGGGAAAACCCGAGGAAUCACCCCCGGUGAAUUCCACUCGAUGUUAUCAUCAAGGUGAACGUAAGAGGAUCCACCCUUGAGGUCCACACUUGAGGGGUUGCACGACAGAGCCGUAACGGAAGUGGUUAAGGAGGAAAUCACCCUCGAUGACCAUGACCGAAUAGCUACACUACAGAGAUCUCAUCAGGAGUGAUGUAAGAGGUUCCACCCUCGGCACUCGAUGGUAACUCUGCAGAGUCAAGCAACAAAAGGGGUAAGUGAUGUGCGGUGCCAUGGCCCGGUCUUCGAUCCCGUUGAUCGGGUCUUCGAUGAUGAAGCAGGGGCAACAAGGACAAGGUGGGGGUCACUGAUGGAUCACUAACCAACCUAUACUAAGCAGUUUAGGAUAAGCAUGUAGGUAACAAUAAGCAGGUUACAAAAGCAGGCUAUGCAUCAGAAUAGGAGCAAACAAUAACAGUAUCAAAAUCUAAUGCAAGCAUCAGAGAAUGGAAUGGGCGAUAUCGGGAUGAUCAAAGGGGGGCUUGCCUGGUUGCUUAGACAAGAAGGAGGGGGCGUCGGUGACGUAGUCGAUCACAGCGGCAUCGGCAGCCGCCACGGGGUCUACCGAAGAGAGAGGGGGGAGAAACAGUAAAUACAUAGCAAGCAAGUGCAUAACAGGACAAUAGGCAUAGCUAGACGUGUUCUAACGCGGUCCUAGACGUUAUAGGUGAAGGGGGAAUUCAACUAGGAAGGUGUUCCCGAUUCUGGACCUGUGUUAGACAGAUGACCGGAGGGGGAAAGUUCCAUGUUCAGAUAGUUAGAGGCAUUUGACAGGUAUGUGGGUAGUGUAUUCGGGUUCGUCUCGUCGUUCUGAGCAACUUUCAUAUAUAAAGUUUUUCGAUCCGAGCUACGGUUAAUUUUCCAUGAUUUUUCAAAGUUUUAAACAUAUUAUGGAAUUAAAUAAAUUAUCAGAAAAGAAAUACUACGUCAGCUUGACAUCACUGUGACGUCAGCAGUCAACAGGACGGCUGACCAGGUCAAACUGACCUAUGAGUCCAUCGGGACCCACAUGUCAUUGACAAGGAACUAACAGGGUUUUAUUUUAACUAAACAGGGUUAAUUAGCAGGCACGCCCCACGUGUCAUUGUCUAAUUAACAUAACUAAUUAGUUUUAAUUAAAACAGUUUAACUAGACUAAUUAUAAAUAGGGGCCCACAUGUCGGUGGCCGGGGUUGCCUAGUCAGCGCGUUAUCUGGGUCAACCAAGUCAAUGGGGCCCACUGGGCCCACUGGUCAGUCACACAAAGGCGAGGCCCACUGCGCCACGUCAGCGUCGGCGCCGGAGACAACUCCGGUGACCAAAAAUGCGGUGGAGCUCGCCAGACUUGGCCGGAAAAAUGCUACGGCGCUUCGUUCGGGGCGUGCUUAGGCUCGUUCGAACGAGCGUUCAACGCCGCAUCCAUCUACGGGAGCGGUGCGGUCGUAAACGGCCGGAAGCUAUGGCGGUGAGCGGCAGAGCGGAUGCCGAAGUUCGGCCCUUGCACGAACUGCGGCUAGAGGGCACAACAGGACUACUGGGGAGGCUCUACGGGGUCCUGGUGAGUCCCGGAGCAUGGUGGCGAGGUCGGGUGAGCACGACAUCAAGAAGGACGAUGGUGACGAGCUUCGUUGUGGAGUGGGUUUCGGGUGGCGAUGGCAACAGCGACUAUGGUGAUGGAUCAGUGCGGGGGAGCAAGGGGAGAGACGUGGUGGCUCACCGGGAGCCGUAGGGAAGUGGCAGUGUGCUCGGGGAGGCGCGCAGCAUCUGGAAUCGACGGCGAUAGACGGCGGCGAUCCGAGGAAGGAGAAGAAGAUGGCGGCAGUGUGGAGGCUUCCCAACACGUUCCGUUCGGCGUAGUCGACGUCGGGGAGCCGUUCGGGCACGUCGGCGGGGCAAUCGGGGCACGGUGGCCGCGGGAUCGAGCAUCGCAGCGGCGAGCUCUCGGGCAAGCUCGCAGCGGGAGCUAUAGAGAGAUUGAGGGGGGAAACUGGGGGUAGCUAGGGUUUCCAGGGGGUCGAAGUUGGCCUUAGCCGCGCGGGGAGGCUCGGCGGAUGGUCGCCGCGUGGCCAUCCGCGGCCUGGACGAGCGCCCGGCGGCCACCGAGCUCGGUGAGCAGUGAGGAAGGAGGGGACUCUAGGUGGGCUGGGCCACACCUGUAGCUAGUAGGCCUAAGUGCACAGUAGAAAUUAGGCCCCUUUUUAUUUUCUUAUUUCUGUUUUCUGUUUUUCUUUUCUGUUUGCAAAAAGUUUAUCACCUAAAUUAUUUUUAUAACAUAAGGGAGCUAACUCAUAAAUUUGAGUGCAAUAUAUCCUAGCACCAAAAACUAGUUUGGGUAAAUUAGUAUUUCAAAAUUAAAUUUGGAUUAAUUUUAAGGUUAUUAAUUGUUGUUGUUAGCCACUGUUUCAGGUUGUUAGUGUCACUUAAUUAAUCCAUAAAAUGUCGGUUACAAUUUUAUAACUGCCUCUAAAUUAUUUUCCAUUUAAUGAACAUUUUAGUUUUUGAUUUGAACAACUUUUAUUUUCCACUUUGAAUUUAAUUGAAGUUUGAAUUGGGAGUUUGAAAAUCUAUAUGAUGCAAAUCAUGAUUAGACACUGUUAAAUUUGCUGACAUGGCAUUAACUAAGGGUGAUCACUGUAGUGUGAUACUGGGGAUGUUACAGUUUAGUACCUGCCCUUGAUCAAAGCACUACUACUUACCCCAUUGGCAUUGCCCCCAACAUUCAAUACCACAGGUCCUAGGUUCGAGACCCAGCCCAAACUUUUUUUGUUUGAUUUUUAUUUUUUUUAACAAAAUUUGGUACAUAUGUUCAGUUUGCAGCAAGUUGAGCAAUACAAGUUCAGUCAUAAAAAUUUAGUGAGCCUCAAAUUCAGCAAAGAUGGACACAGAAACAAAAAUGCAAUGCUGCAUCAAGUUCAGUUUGCAUCAAAUUCAGUUUGCAUCAAAUUACUAAUGUCUGGUACAGUUUAAAUGAGCUACACAUUUGAGCUCUAUUAGUUUCUUCACUGAAUGAACUACAUUUGAGCUCAAUGAGCAUCAAAUUACUCAAUGAACCAUUUACUGAAUGAACUAUUUGAGCUCUGCUAGUUUGAAACACUCAGAUUUAAGUUUCUGCCAGAAAAUCACUGAAUCACAAGUGCAACAGCACUGAUUCAUCUGAACUCAUCAAACAUGUUGACUAUUUUCUUCUUGGGCACAUGUGCACUUCUUGUUGGUGCACUUGGGCAAACUGAUUCAACUCUUCUUUUCUUGGCCUUUUUUUGUUGUUUCUUCUUUGCUUCUUGAUCUUGUUUUUCCUUCAGUGCAAUAGCUCUCUUUGCUUCUUGAUCUUCUCUUCUCUUCAUUGUUGCCUCUGCCUUAGCUGCAAUUGCUUCAAUUGCCCUGGCCUCCUUCUCUUCUUGUAAUGUUGCCUUUUCUUAUCGCUGAAGCUUCCAUCUUUGCUUCUGUUUUCUCAGCCUUCUUCUCUUUUGUUGCUCUUAUUCUUUUGGCUGCCUUAUCUACUCUCCUGAUAGCAAUUUCCCGCCUCUUUGCUCCUGCCUCCCCUGCUCUCCUCUCUGCCAUCUCAUUCAUUGCCUCUAGUGCUUCAUCUCUCCUGGCUGCCAUCUGCCUUUCUUUGUCUCUUUGCAUCUUCAACAGCUUCAUGGUCAGAUUGCCACCAUUUGUAGCUGUUGUUGUAUGUGCUGAAGCUUGAGAAGUGGAUGCUUGUAAUAUGAAUGAUGAAUCGGGCAGAGUGCCUUCAGUUUCUUCUCUAUGUACAGGCCUAGACUGCUGCAUCUUAAGAAGCAUUGUACAUCCAAAGUCUUGCACCUAUGCAUAGCCAAUCAUCACAUGCUAUCAUCACUGGUGUAUCAUAUUAAAUACAACCUAAAAGAAAUGGACCAAAAAGAUUAGAAUUUACCUGAAAAACAACUGGUGUAUCAUAUCCAUCCUCUUGUUGUUGCACUGGGCAAUCAUUCUGUGUGGCAUUGACAUCCUCCUGUGUAAGUUGGCCAUCAUCUUGUGUGACAUGAACCUCCUCCUGUGACUUGCUCAUCAUCUUGUGUGACAUGAACCUCCUCCUGUGUGACUUGCCCAUCAUCUUGUUGUGCCAUAACUGGUUCAUCAUCAGACAUAUCCUCAGGAAUAGCCCUUGGCCCCCUUCUCACUGAUAGUUUUGGCAAAAUGCCAGGUUUUCUAGUAUUACAUCCUUUGAUGUUAUGGCCCUGUUCAUGGCAGUAUGAACAUGUUAUUGUGCCUCCAUGUAUGGUCAGUACCUUUGUGCCAUCUUUAUUUUCAAUCUCAUAAGGCUGCUUUCUCCUACUCUUGUUUGAAGGCCUCCCAACUUUCUUUUCAUAGACAGGUUGUUUGAUUUCACAAGCAUUCAUCUUCUCCCACUCACUCCUAUCUCUGCAAGGCUUGAUAAUUGGCUUGUAUGCUAACUUGAAUGCUUCUAUACUGUAGCAGGAGUGCACCAAACUCUCUAGGUCAAUUCUCUCAUGUCUACAGCAUGCAAUUGCUAACUCCACUAAGAUCCCACAUUUUGCAUGUACAACUCUCUUCCUUGAGGUCAACAAUGUAUGUCUUGCUCCUGUUGUCAACCUGGAAGAUGCCAUCACCAGCCCCUGAAACCAUGCAUGUAGCCGCCAGCUCUAUAUUCUUUUCAAUUCUUUUUCUUAUUUUUGGGCAUACAGAACCAGGCCAGUUCUUUGUCUCUUUUCUUUUGUUGUAGAAUCUGACCAUGAGCUGGGUUUUGAUCUUCUCAAUCAUUGAUCUGAGAUGCAUCUCCCUAGCCUCAAGAAUAUAUUUGUUGAAAACCUCACAAUUGUUGUUCAGAAGGAUAUCACACUUGACCAAGUCUCUUUGGAAGCCCCUAACCCAAGUGUUGGGUGGUAGCUGCUCAAGACAUUUGUAUGCUUCUAGGCUGAUGACCUUCAUUUCCUCCAUGCUUGCAGCCCACAGCUCUGGUGUUGUGCUCCUUGCACACUUCCAUAACUGGUUCUUAAGAACAUCUCCUUUGUGUGUUUGCUGAAAAUUCUGCCAUAUAUGCCUAACACAGUGUUUGUGCUCUACAUCAGGAAAGUGUUGCCUCACUUCCUUGAUUAGCCCCUUUUGCUUGUCUGACAUUAUAGUCCAUGGCUCUGUGUUCAGAAUUCCCAAGUCACUCUUCAGGUUUGACAGAAACCAUUUCCAUGUGUCAGUGUUCUCUACCUCAACAACAACAAAAGCUAGAGGGUAAAUGCAGUCAUUAGGAUCCAUGCCAACAGCACACAGCAUAACACCUCCAUACUUUGUCUUCAGGUGGCAUCCAACCAAACAGAUGACAGGCCUACAGGCUUGCAUGAAACCCCUUUUGCAGGUAUCCAAAAAGAAAUAACAACUUCCAAAUAUGCCAUCAUUGACACCUACAUAGAAAGAGCUGCCAGGGUUUGAUCUUUUGAAUUCUGCUGCAUAAUCCCACAUACUGUUAUACUGCUCUAACUCAUCUCCUUCAAUGACUUUCUUCACUAGUCUCCUGGCCCUUCUAAGUUUGCUCCUUGUUGUUGUCAUGUUCCAGUCCUUCUGAACAACCCUUGAAAAAUUCUUCAUGUUCAUGUUUUCAUCUGCUCUGAAUGAAUCAAGAUACUUUCCUGCCAUGAAGGGAGUAGUCAAUGACUUGACACUCCAUUUCUUUAUGCAGGUAUGAUUUGGGUUAUACUUCUUGAUCAUGAAGCAGUUGAUUCUCCCAUCAAAUGAUGCAUACAAAGAUCAUGGACACCCAACUUCACAAAUGCCUUUAACUCUUUUCCUAUCAAUUCUAGGGCACUUGAUGUCAACCCUUUCAUGACAGCUAUACUCCUUGAUAACCCUCCUCAGUAACUGAACACUAGCAAAUGUCUGACCCACUUUGAACUCUGGUUUAGCCAGGUCCUCUUCGCUGAAACUUUUGAAAUUCAGCUUAACCUUAUCUUCAUCAGAUGAAGGCAAGCACAUGUCCACAUCUUCGGUAGGAUCAUCAGCUUCUUCUUGGACUUCUUUACCUUUGCCUUUGUCACAAUCAACAUUGUUGUCAAACAAGUCAUCAUCAUCUUGCAGAUCAAUGUCUGAACCAAUAAUUUGUGGAAUGUAAUCUUCAUCUGAAUCCUGCAUUACUGAACAACAAACUGUGUCUGCUACAUCCAUGUUCAAACACCUAGAGGAUUUCCUGAAGGAAAUAUGCCCUAGAGGCAAUAAUAAAGUUAUUAUUUAUUUCCUUAUAUCAUGAUAAAUGUUUAUUAUUCAUGCUAGAAUUGUAUUAACAGGAAACAUAAUACAUGUGUGAAUACAUAGACAAACAGAGUGUCACUAGUAUGCCUCUACUUGACUAGCUCGUUGAUCAAAGAUGGUUAUGUUUCCUAACCAUAGACAUGAGUUGUCAUUUGAUUAACGGGAUCACAUCAUUAGGAGAAUGAUGUGAUUGACUUGACCCAUUCCGUUAGCUUAGCACUUGAUCAUUUAGUUUGUUGCUAUUGCUUUCUUCAUGACUUAUACAUGUUCCUAUGACUAUGAGAUUAUGCAACUCCCGUUUACCGAAGGAACAGUUUGUGUGCUACCAAACGUCACAACGUAACUGGGUGAUUAUAAAGGUGCUCUACAGGUGUCUCCAAAGGUACUUGUUGGGUUGGCGUAUUUCGAGAUUAGGAUUUGUCACUCCGAUUGUCGGAGAGGUAUCUCUGGGCCCACUCGGUAAUGCACAUCACUAUAAGCCUUGCAAGCAUUGCAACUAAUGAGUUAGUUGCAGAAUGAUGUGUUACGGAACGAGUAAAGAGACUUGCCGGUAACGAGAUUGAACUAGGUAUUGAGAUACUGAUGAUCGAAUCUCGGGCAAGUAACAUACCGAUGACAAAGGGAACAACGUAUGUUGCUAUGCGGUUUGACCGAUAAAGAUCUUCGUAGAAUAUGUAGGAGCCAAUAUGAGCAUCCAGGUUCCGCUAUUGGUUAUUGACCGGAGACGUGUCUCGGUCAUGUCUACAUAGUUCUCGAACCCGUAGGGUCCGCACGCUUAAAGUUCCAUGAUGGUUAUAUUAUGAGUUUAUGUGUUUUGAUGUACCGAAGGAGUUCAGAGUCCCGGAUGAGAUCGGGGACAUGACGAGGAGUCUCGAAAUGGUCGAGAUGUAAAAAUCGAUAUAUUAGACGACUAUAUUCGGACAUCGGAAAGGUUCCGAGUGAUUCGGGUAUUUUCGGGAGUACCGGGGAGUUACGGGAAUUCGUAUUGGGCCUUAAUGGGCCAUAUGGGAAAGGAGAUAAAGGCCUCAAAGGGUGGCCGCACCCCUCCCCAUGGGCUGGUCCGAAUUGGACUAGGGAGGAGGGGCGCCCCCUUCCUUCCUUCUUCUUUUCCCUUCCCUUUCCUUCCCUCCUACUCCUACUACUUGGAAGGGCUCCUAGUUCUACUAGGAAAGGGGGAAUCCUACUCCCGGUGGGAGUAGGACUCCCCUAGGGCGCGCCAUAGAGAGGGCUGGCCCCUCCCCUCCUCUACUCCUUUAUAUACGUGGCCAGGGGGCACCCCAUAGACACAACAAUUGAUCCUUUCGAUCUCUUAGCCAUGUGCGGUGCCCCCCUCCACCAUAAUCCACCCCGGUCAUAUCGUAGCGGUGCUUAGGCGGAGCCCUGCGUCGGUAGAACAUCAUCGUCGUCACCACGCCAUCGUGCUGAUGGAACUCUCCCUCAAAGCUCGGCUGGAUCGGAGUUCGAGGGACGUCAUCGAGUUGAACGUGUGCAGAACUCGGAGGUGCCGUGCGUUCGGUACUUGAUCGGUCAGAUCGUGAAGACGUACGACUACAUCAACCGCGUUGAUAUAACGCUUCCGCGAACGGUCUACGAGGGUACGUAGACAACACUCUCCCCUCUUGUUGCUAUGCAUCACCAUGAUCCUGCGUGUGCGUAGGAAAAUUUUGAAAUUACUACGUUCCCCAAUAGUGGCAUCCGAGCCUAGGUUUUAUGCGUUGAUGUUAUGCACGAGUAGAACACAAGUGAUUUGUGGGCGAUAUAAGUCAUACUGCUUACCAGCAUGUCAUACUUUGGUUCGGCGGUAUUGUUGGAUGAAGCGGCCCGGACCGACAUUACGCGUACGCUUACGCGAAACUGGUUCUACCGACGUGCUUUGCACACAGGUGGCUGGCGGGUGUCAGUUUCUCCAACUUUAGUUGAACCAAGUGUGGCUACGCCCGGUCCUUGCAAAGGUUAAAACAGCACCAACUUGAAAAACUAUUGUUGUGGUUUUGAUGCGUAGGUAAGAGCGGUUCUUGCUCAGCCCGUAGCAGCCACGUAAAACUUGCAACAACAAAGUAGAGGACGUCUAACUUGUUUUUGCAGGGCAUGUUGUGAUGUGAUAUGGUCAAGACGUGAUGAGAUAUAAGUUGUUAUAUGAUAUGAUCAUGUUUUGUUGAAGUUAUCGGCAACAGGCAAAAGCCUUAUGGUUAUCUCUCUAUUGCAUAAGAUGCAAGCGCCAAAUAAUAGCUUUACUUUAUCGCUAUGCGAUAGCAAUAGUUGCAAGAGCAAUUGUUGGCGAGACAACCAUGUGACGACACAUUGAUAUGGAUCAAGAUGAUGGAGAUCAUGGUGUCAUGCCGGUGACGAUGGGAAUCAUGACGAUGUUUUGGAGAUGGAGAUCAAAGGCACAAUAUGAUGAUGGCCAUAUCAUGUCACAUAUAUUGAUUGCAUGUGAUGUUUAUCUUUUAUGCAUCUUAUCUUGCUUUGAUUGACGGUAGCAUUAUAAGAUGAUCUCUCACUAAAUUUCAAGAUAAAAGUGCUCUCCCUGAGUAUGCACCGUUGCCAAAGUUCGUCGUGCCCAGACACCACGUGAUGAUUGGGUGUGAUAAGCUCUACGUCCAUCUACAACGGGUGCAAGCCAGUUUUUGCACACGCAGAAUACUCAGGUUAAGCUUGACGAGCCUAGCAUAUGCAGAUAUGUCCUCAGAACACUGAGACCGAAAGGUCGAGCGUGAAUCAUAUAGUAGAUAUGAUCAACAUAUUUGAUGUUCACCAUUGAAAGCUACUCCAUUUCACGUGAUGAUCGGUUAUGGUUUAGUUGAUUUGGAUCACGUGAUCACUUAGAAGAUUAGAGGGAUGUCUUUCUAAGUGGGAGUUCUUAAGUAAUAUGAUUAAUUGAACUUAAAUUUAUCAUGAACUUAGUCCUGGUAGUAUUAGCAUAUCUAUGUUGUAGAUCAAUAGCUCGCGUUUAGCUCCCCUAUUUUAUUUUUGAUAUGUUCCUAGAGAAAACUAAGUUGAAGAUGUUAGUAGCAAUGAUGCGGAUUGGAUCCUGUGAUCUGAGGUUUAUCCUCAUUGCUGCACAGAAGAAUUAUGCCCUUAAUGCACCGCUAGGUGACAGACCUAUUGCAGGAGCAGAUGCAGACGUCAUGAACGUUUGGAUAGCUCAAUAUGAUGACUACUUGAUAGUUUAGUGCACCAUGCUUAACAGCUUAGAAUCGGGACUUCAAAGACGUUUUGAACGUCAUGGAUCAUAUGGAUGUUCCGAGAGUUGAAGUUAAUAUUUCAAGCAAAUACCCGAGUUGAGAGAUAUGAAGUCUCCAACAAGUUCUAUAGCUAAAAGAUGGAGGAGAAUAACUCAAGCAGUGAGCAUGUGUUCAGAUUGUCUGGGUACUACAAUCGCUUGAAUCAAGUGGGAGUUAAUCUUCCAGAUAAAAUAGUGAUUGAAAGAAUUCUCUAGUCACCACCACCAAGUUAGUAGAACUUCGUGAUGAACUAUAGUAUGCAAGGGAUGAUGAAAACGAUUCCCGAGCUUUUCAUGAUGAUGAAAUCGAUGAAAGGUAGAAAUCAAGAAAGAACAUCAAGUGUUGAUGAUUAACAAGACCACUAGUUUCAAGAAAAGGGCAAAGGGAAAGAAAGGGAACUUCAAGAAGAACGGCAAGCAAGUUGCUGCUCAAGUGAAGAAGCCCAAGUCUGGUCCUAAGACUGAGACUAAGUGCUUCUACUGCAAAGGGACUGGUCACUGGAAGCAGAACUGCCCCAAGUAUUUGGCGGAUAAGAAGGAUGGCAAAGUGAACAAAGGUAUAUUUGAUAUACAGAUUAUUGAUGUGUAUUUUACUAGUGUUCAUAGCAACCCCUCGGUAUUUGAUACUGGUUCAGUUGCUAAGAGUAGUAACUCGAAACGGGAGUUGCAGAAUGAAUAGAGACUAGUUAAGGGUGAAGUGACGAUGUGUGUUGGAAGUGGUUCCAAGAUUGAUAUGAUCAUCAUCGCACACUCCAUAUACUUUUGGGAUUAGUGUUAAACCUAAAUAAAUGUUAUUUGGUGUUUGCGUUGAGCAUGAAUAUGAUUUGAUCAUGUUUAUUGCAAAAUGGUUAUUCAUUUAAGUUAGAGAAUAAUUGUUGUUCUGUUUACAUGAAUAAAACCUUCUAUGGUCAUACACCCAAUGAAAAUGGUUCGUUGGAUCUCGAUCGUAGUGAUACACAUAUUCAUAAUAUUGAAACCAAAAGAUGCAAAGUUAAUAAUGAUAGUGCAACUUAUUUGUGGCACUGCCGUUUAGGUCAUAUUGGUGUAAAGCGCAUGAAGAAACUCCAUGCUGAUGGACUUUUGGAAUCACUUGAUUAUGAAUCACUUGAUUCUUACAGCCAUGCCUCAUGGGCAAGAUGACUAAGACUCCGUUCUCCGGAACAAUGGAGCGAGCAACUGACUUAUUGGAAAUAAUACAUACUGAUGUAUGCGGUCCGAUGAGUGUUAAGGCUCACGGCAAGUACCGUUAUUUUUUGUUCUUCACAGAUGAUUUGAGCAGAUAUGAGUAUAUCUACUUGAUGAAACACAAGUCUGAAAUAUUUGAAAAGUUCAAAGAAUUUCAGAGUGAAGUGGAGAAUCAUCGUAACAAAAAUAAAAGUUUCUAUGAUAUGAUCGCAGAAGUAAAAUAUUUGAGUUACAAGUUUGGCCUUCAGUUAAAACAAUGUGAAAUAGUUUCACUACUCACGCCACCUGGAACACCACAGUGUAAUGGUGUGUCUGAACGUCAUAACCAUGCUUUAUUAGAUAUGGUGCGAUCUAUGAUGUCUCUUACUGAUCUACCACUAUCGUUUUGGGGUUAUGCAUUAGAGACAGCUACAUUCACGUUAAAUAGGGCACCAUCUAAAUCCGUGGAGAUGACACCGUAUGAACUGUGGUUUGGCGAGAAACCUAAGCUGUUGUUUCUUAAAGUUUGGGACUGCGAUGCUUAUGUGAAAAAGUUUCAACAUGAUAAGCUUGAACCCAAAUCGGAGAAGUAAAUCUUCAUAGGAUACCCAAAAGAAAAUGUUGGGUACACCUUCUAUCACAGAUCCGAAGGCAAGUUAUUCGUUGCUUUGAAUGGAUCCUUUCUAGAGAAGGAGUUUCUCUCGAAAGAAGUGAGUGGGAGGAAAGUAGAACUUGAUGAGGUAACUGUACCUGCUCCCUUAUUGGAAAGUAGUUCAUCACAUAAAUCUGUUCCUGUGACUACUACACCAAUUAGUGAGGAAGCUAAUGAUGAUGAUCAUGUAACUUCAGAUCAAGUUACUACCGAACCUCGUAGGUAAAACAGAGUAAGAUCCGCGCCAGAGUGGUACGGUUAUCCUAUUCUAGAGGUCGUGUUACUUGACCAUGACGAGCCUACGAACUAUGAGGAAGCGAUGAUGAGCCCAGAUUCCGCGAAAUGGCUUGAGGCCAUGAAAUCUGAGAUGAGAUCCAUGUAUGAGAACAAAGUAUGGACUUUGAUUGACUUGCCCAAUGAUCGGCGAGCCAUUGAGAUUAAAUGGAUCUUCUAGAGGAAGAUGGACGCUGAUAGUAGUGUUACUAUCUACAAAGCUAGAAUUGUCGCAAAAAGGUUUUUCGACAAGUUCAAGGUGUUGACCACAAUGAGAGUUUCUCACUCGUAUCUAUGCUUAAGUCUGUCCGAAUCAUGUUAGCAAUUGCCGCAUUUUAUGAAAUCUGGCAAAUGGAUAAACAAAAUUGCAUUCCUUAAUGGAUUUAUUAAAGAAGAGUUGUAUAUGAUGCAACCAGAAGGUUUUGUCAAUCCUAAAGGUACUAAGAAAAUAUGCAAGCUCCAGUGGUCCAUCUAUGGACUGGUGCAAGCAUCUCAGAGUUGGAAUAUACGCUUUGAUAAGUUGAUCAAAGCAUAUAGUUUUAUACAGACUUACGGUGAAGCCUAUAUUUACAAGAGAGUGAGUGGGAGCACUACAUCAUUUCUGAUAAGUAUAUGUGAAUGACAUAUUGUUGAUCGGAGAUAAUGUAGAAUUAUUCUGCAAAGCAUAAAGGAGUGUUUGAAAGGAGUUUUUCAAAGAAAGACCCCGGUGAAGCUGCUUACAUAUUGAGCAUCAAGAUCUAUAGAGAUAGAUCAAGACGCUUGAUAAGUUUUUCAAUGAGUACAUACCUUGACAAGAUUUUGAAGUAGUUCAAAAUGGAACAGUUAAAGAAAGAGUUCUUGCCUGUGUUACAAGGUGUGAAACUGAGAAAGACUCAAAGCCCGACCACGGCAGAAGAUAGAAAGAGAAUGAAACUCAUUCCCUAUGCCUUGGCCAUAGGUUCUAUAAAAUAUGCCAUGCUGUGUACCAGAUCUAUUGUAUACCCUACACUGUUUUUGGCAAGGGAGUACAAUAGUGAUCUAGGAGUGGAACACUGGACAGCGGUCAAAAUUAUCCUCAGUGGAAUAAGGAUAUGUUUCUCGAUUAUGGAGGUGACAAAAAGGUUCGUCGUAAAGGGUUACGUUGAUGCAAAUUUUGACACUGAUCCAGAUGACUCUAAAUCUCAAUCUGGAUACAUAUUGAAAGUGGGAGCAAUUAGUUAGAGUAGCUCCGUGCAGAGCAUUGUUGACAUAGAAAUUUGCAAAAUACUUACGGAUUUGAAUGUGGCAGACCCAUUGACUAAACUUCUCUCACAAGCAAAACAUGAUCACACCUUAGUACCCUUUGGGUGUUAAUCACAUAGCGAUGUGAACUAGAUUAUUGACUCUAGUAAACCCUUUGGGUGUUGGUCACAUGUCGAUGUGAACUAUGGUGUUAAUCACAUGGUGAUGUGAACUAUUGGUAUUAAAUCACAUGGCGAUGUGAACUAGAUUAUUGACUCUAGUGCAAGUGGGAGACUGAAGGAAAUAUGCCCUAGAGGCAAUAAUAAAGUUAUUAUUUAUUUCCUUAUAUCAUGAUAAAUGUUUAUUAUUCAUGUUAGAGUUGUAUUAACAUGAAACAUAAUACGUGUGUGAAUACAUAGACAAACAGAGUGUCACUAGUAUGCCUCUACUUGACUAGCUCGUUGAUCAAAGAUGGUUAUGUUUCCUAACCAUAGACAUGAGUUGUCAUUUGAUUAACGGGAUCACAUCAUUAGGAGAAUGAUGUGAUUGACUUGACCCAUUCCAUUAGCUUAGCACUUGAUCAUUUAGUUUGUUGCUAUUGCUUUCUUCAUGACUUAUACAUGUUCCUAUGACUAUGAGAUUAUGCAACUCCCGUUUACCGGAGGAACACUUUGUGUGCUACCAAACGUCACAACGUAACUGGGUGAUUAUAAAGGUGCUCUACAGGUGUCUCCAAAGGUACUUGUUGGGUUGGCGUAUUUCGAGAUUAGGAUUUGUCACUCCGAUUGUCGGAGAGGUAUCUCUGGGCCCACUCGGUAAUGCACAUCACUAUAAGCCUUGCAAGCAUUGCAACUAAUGAGUUAGUUGCAGGAUGAUGUGUUACGAAACGAGUAAAGAGACUUGCCGGUAAUGAGAUUGAACUAGGUAUUGAGAUACCGAUGAUCGAAUCUCGGGCAAGUAACAUACCGAUGACAAAGGGAACAACGUAUGUUGUUAUGCGGUUUGACCGAUAAAGAUCUUCGUAGAAUAUGUAGGAGCCAAUAUGAGCAUCCAGGUUCCGUUAUUGGUUAUUGACCGGAGACGUGUCUCGGUCAUGUCUACAUAGUUCUCGAACCCGUAGGGUCCGCACGCUUAAAGUUCGAUGACGGUUAUAUUAUGAGUUUAUGUGUUUUGAUGUACCGAAGGAGUUCGGAGUCCCGGAUGAGAUCGGGGACAUGACGAGGAGUCUCGAAAUGGUCGAGACGUAAAAAUCGAUAUAUUAGACGACUAUAUUCGGACAUCGGAAAGGUUCCGAGUGAUUCGGUUAUUUUCGGGAGUACCGGGGAGUUACGGGAAUUCGUAUUGGGCCUUAAUGGGCCAUACGGGAAAGGAGAGAAAGGCCUCAAAGGGUGGCCACACCCCUCCCCAUGGGCUGGUCCGAAUUGGACUAGGGAGAAGGGGCGCCCCCUUCCUUCUCCUUUUCCCUUCCCUUUCCUUCCCUCCUACUCCUACUACUUGGAAGGGCUCCUAGUUCUACUAGGAAAGGGGGAAUCCUACUCCCGGUGGGAGUAGGACUCCCCUAGGGCGCGCCAUAGAGAGGGCCGGUCCUUCCCCUCCUCCACUCCUUUAUAUACGUGGCCAGGGGCACCCCAUAGACACAAUAAUUGAUCCUUUGGAUCUCUUAGCCAUGUGCGGUGCCCCCCUCCAUCAUAAUCCACCUCGGUCAUAUUGUAGCGGUGCUUAGGCGGAGCCCUGUGUCGGUAGAACAUCAUCAUCAUCACCACGCCGUCGUGCUGAUGGAACUCUCCCUCAAAGCUCGACUGGAUCGGAGUUCGAGGGACGUCCUCGAGUUGAACGUGUGCAGAACUCGGAGGUGCCGUGCGUUCGGUACUUGAUCGGUCAGAUCGUGAAGACGUACGACUACAUCAACUGCGUUGAUAUAACGCUUCCAUGAACGGUCUACGAGGGUACGUAGACAACACUCUCCCCUCUUGUUGCUAUGCAUCACCAUGAUCCUGCGUGUGCGUAGAGUUUUUUUGAAAUUACUAUGUUCCCCAACAUUUCCUGGCCCUAAACCCAAACUGAGAUGAAAGGUAAGUAGUUCCUGGCUGAGGUGGACUUGGUAUGAAAUCAUCUUCUUCUGACUCUGCUCCACUGUCUGACUCUGUUUCAUCUGGCUCAUGCUCUUGUUCAGUCUCAUGCUCUUGAUCAUGCUGAGGCAGCUCCUGUUCCACUUGAGGGAGCUCAGCCUGUUCCUGUUCCACCAGAGUGAGCUCAGCCUGCUCCUCUUAUUGUUGUUGUGUUUGCUCUUCUUGCUGGUGUGCCUUCUCCUUCUUUGGCCUAAUGCAACUGAACCUGAUAAUUGGAGGAUCCUCAUCAUCAGAGUGAACUUGAACAAGAGAAAUAUAUGAUCUCAUGCUCUCAUCAUGAUCAAGGAAAACCUAUUGGAAGUGGUUGCCAUUCAGAACACAAUCCUUCAUGUUUUCUGUCAUAGUGUUGUCCCCUAUCUUAAUCUCUCUUAAUCCAUUCCUAUACACUGUCAAUCCAGGAACACAUCAAUAAGCUCUGAUCCUGCCCUCAAACUCAUACCCAAUUUUCUCAACCAGACUAGCAACAACAGUAGGUGUCCAAUUAUCUAUGUCACAAUAGUCAUACCAAAUGGAGUGGCCUUUGUGGUAAUCCCCAUGCUUGCCUGCACAAAGGAAAUAGCCACCAUGUAUGACCUCAACAGAGAAGUAGUUGCUUAGGGGUCCUGCAAAACAUUCAAAGUUGCAAUGUUCAGACAAGAUAAACAGAGACAUUUAUGAAGGUUCAGUCAAGCUGAAAAUAUUCAGUUAACUCCAAAAGUUCAGUUACUGUAUCAAACCACCAAUAGCUCAGUUAACUGAUUAAGUAGGACCUAACCAAGGGUACUGAGCAAGUAGUAAAGUAAUGUAAUUGGACCAAAACAAGCAAAGUGUCAAUGUUCAGUUAUUAUACUAAAUCAAGUUCAGACAUUUCAAUAUUCAAACAGGUUAACACAUAUAUAUUCAGUUAUCUUACAGAGCAAAUUUCAUACAUGUUGCAGAAAGAAAGCACGGAUUCAUGGCCUCCACUGACCAAAUAUAUGAUCUUUCAUGGGCAAAAUGAUCAUCUCAUGCGCAAAACGCAUCUCUUAUCAUGAUCAACAAUCAGUCCAUAUAAAGCAAAGAAACAGGGGAGAAGCUAGCCAGCAUGGCCUCCCCUAACAGGCUCCAAAAUCAAACCCUAAUUUUGCUAUGCAAGCCCUAGACCAUCUCUAAAUACAAGAUCCACAACACAUCAGAAACCCUUGCAUUGAUCUGUGGCCCUGCUAAACGUCCGCUCCUAAAAUCCUGAACCCUACACCAUCCGUGGCAAAAAAGGAGAGAAAUAGCCCAAACCCUAGCACCUGUGCGCAAUUGACUCGCACGCAAGCUCUUCCCCGGGAGCUUUCAUGGACAGAUCGAGCACAGAACCUGCCGGCGACGGUGACGUACCAUAGAGGGGCGGCGAGGCAUGGUCGUCACGACGCGACGGUGCGAGAGGGACGUGACGUAGGCCCCUCCCAAAUGGUGCGGACGGUGGCGGCGCAGCGUCCGGCGACGAGCUCACGGUGUCGUCGCCACGCUCGCCCACGCCGGAGACGACGAACCACCUCGGCAGCGACAGCGAACCAGGGGAGAAGGGAGAAGCAGGGGAGUGGCUCGGGUGGGCUCGGUCGGAGCGGUUGGGCUCGAUCCGACCAGGUGGCUCGAUCGAUCCGACCAGGUGGGGGAUGCUUUAAUAACUGGAUGUUUUGCAAAAAAGACCUGCAUGCAUGCGUAUUCGAGCGAGCUGGGCACAUGUGGCAAUCAAUGCACACUUGGCAUCGGUUGACUCGGGCCAGAUCAGCACAUACGUACACAAAACCGUAUAUUGGACUGUAGAUGACCCUCUAGAGCAAGUUUGGUGAAACGCAAGUAAAUGGACCUGUAGUGAUUUUUUUCUCAAUUUAUAAUUAUACCUAUUCACUCCUCUUUAAGUUUUAUGUGUAUCCUUCCACAAAGUACGUCGCGUUGCAAGGAGAAGGAACAUUGCGUCACGUUACAAGAAUUUUUUUAUUGAAAAUUCUUCAUCCGCGUCAGUUAUUCUGAACUGAGGGAGCUGUAUUUUUUUUCCAACAAAGUACUCCAUCUAGCAAUUCGGAAAGAGAAGCAAUCUGAUCCAAACAAUAAUCUGCCAAGUCAUCGUCGUUAUCUCACGGUAAUCUCAACUGAAACAACUCCUCUCUAGACACUGCUGUUGACUCCGCCGUUUUCUCAACCCACAUGGCUCUCGAAGCGCGCCUCCGCCUCCCGCUCGCGGGGCCAACUCCGGCCACCGCUUUCCUCUCAGGAUCCAACCCCAAACCCAGUCACAUAUCCUUCUCCCUCAAACCCGCCUCCACUUCUCUCUCCGCCGCCAAUGCGCCGCCGCCCAUCGUCGUCGUGGGCUCCGCCAACGCGGACAUCUACGUCGAGGUCGACCGUCUCCCUCUUGUCGGCGAGACGGUUGCCGCGAGUGCCGGUCACAGCCUCGCCGGCGGGAAGGGCGCCAAUCAAGCUGCCUGCGGGGGGCGGCUUGCGCUGGGGCCCACCUACCUCGUGGCGCGCGUGGGGGACGACGCCAACGGGCGCCUCCUCGAGGGGGCACUCGCGGACGCCGGCGGCGUCCGCCUCGACCGCGUCGCUCGCGCCCCCGGCGCGCCCUCGGGGCACGCUGUUGUCAUGCUCAUGCCCGACGGGCAGAACUCCAUCAUCAUCGUUGGCGGCGCCAACAUGGAGGGCUGGGCACCGGAGGUCGACCAGGAGGACCUGGACCUGAUCCGGCAGGCCGGCGUGCUACUGCUGCAACGGGAGAUACCCGAUUGGGUCAACAUUCAGGUCGCUCAGGUAGUUGCUCUAGCCCUUUCCGCUUAUAUACCCACUUUUGAGGUCACAUUAGAUUGAAUUUUAUGGUUCCUAAAAAAGAUGAAUUUUAUGAGGGUUGGAAUUCUUUCUCUGAUAAUGAAGACAUGAUUCAAUUGAAGUUCUAUUCUUUUUGUGCAUUUGGGUAAUUGCUUUCACUUAGUAUUUGGUUGAUUACUACUCCUAUAGUCCCUCUGGAGAUUUGCUAAUGGCUUCUGGCUUGGCAAUGUAAGGACACAUGAGGAGAAAAAAUAUUGUGGUUGUUAACUUAGAUUAUUGGGAAUGUUAAAAAAAAAUCUGACGUCAGAUUUUUAAGCAUGGCAAAUUAUGUUGUCGCGAGGAUGACAAUUUCCUGUAGCAAGUAUGGCAAAUCUUGGCAAAAAACUGAACAUUGCAAGGAUUUGCCAUGCUUGCUAAGGGAAAUUGCCAUCCUUGCGACAACAUAAUUUGCCAUCUCAGGUGUUCGAUUUGCUAUGCUAGAAAAUCUGACGUUCGAUUUGUAGAGAAAUCCUAGAUUAUUUUGUAUUUAUUGCAUUAGCACAGAUCAGUAGCUUGUGCUGCUGUGAAGCAAUAAUUCAUGUGUCGAAUGUUCUUAAUUAGUUGGAAUUAGCCCUUUUGAUUUAGUUAGACCUGUGAAUGUUUUGAUGUGUUCUCUUCUUUGGUUUGCGAUUCUGAUCCGGUGCCUUCAACUGGACCAAAGGAGCAACGAUACUAAUUUGUGAUACAUCAUGAACAUGACUUAGAUAUUCCCUGAGUGGAAUAUACAGUCUCUUUUAUUUGCCAAAUGUAGUGGCCAGCAUAUUUUCAAAUACGGUAAUUUGUGCAAAAAUGAUGGAACAAGAUAUAAAAAUAAAGAACUUUAGGUCUCUUAAAGGUUGUGGGAUUUUCAUAGGAAUAUUGCAGGAUUUUAAUCCUUAGGAAUUUCUCCAAUAACGGCCAUCUGGAUCAUAGGAUUGAGGUUCUCAAAAUUCGAUGAAAUGCAAUCUAAUCCCCCCUUCCAUAUGAAUCUUAACAUGAGCACAAACGUCAUUUUAUUUUUCCUUUCAGAAGUCCAAUGCUCUCUCGCUACAUUCCUCCAAAAUUCUCGUGUUACUUUCUUUUACACCAUCCAAAGGGGCAUUACGUGGAAAAUUUCUGUGUCCUGGGAUCUUGUAGAAAUCCAUAACACAUGACAUCUUAAUCCUGUGUUUCUCCUAUUCUUAUGUUUUCUAAUUCCUUUGAUCCAAAUAGGCCUUCUAACACUAUUAGUUAGUUUGAUUCAAAAGAUGAUUAGCAAAUGAAUGACAGAAGUGGAAGCAAAUCAUAGGAAAUAAUUUCUGACAAGUGACACAGUUAACGAUAUUUAGAAAGAAACAGUUGACAGUGACGCUGCAGGGCUGGUCAAAUGUGUGUCACUCCAUGACCCAUGCUCUCAAGCGUAACUACUCUACUACCUCUCUCCUAGAACGGGAUAGAAAAUGUGAGACUGGGUAGUCUCAUUAACUAACAAAAUGAAAAUAUGACAAGGUUAAGGGAAAAAAUAAGUAAAAGCAUUGAAUGGUUCCUCGUAACAAUGGGGUGAACAUGGCUAUGGUACAACUAUUAAGGGAAUAUAUAUGAUAACGUGAAAUAAAAGUUUAUUGUUGUAAUAAACUAAUAGCACAGAUGGAAACCAUAAGGUUAUUUUCGUUCUGUUAUUGUUGGGUAUGAUUUCUAAGAUUUUCCAGUCCACACUUUCUCCUCAAUCCUCGUUUAAAGGCCACUAAGAGUAGUUCCACACUAGAGCACUUGGCAUGGGUACUCGCACAUACACCCUCCGUCCGGAAAUACUUGUCCAAGGAAUGGAUGUAUCUAGAUGUAUUUUAGUUCUAGAUACAUCCAUUUGUAUCCAUUUCUACGACAAGUAUUUCCGGACGGAGGGAGUACUUUACUAGCACCGUGGUGUUGCCAUCUCUUGUUUCGUUUGUGAAUAUUUCAUUAGUUGAACAAUUAGACUGGUCAUGUCUGCGAAACUAUUUCAUUUUAUUUUCGUCUAUUGCAAUGGUGUUUGGUUCCAGUCUGCAACUCGGUAUGAAAAAGAAAAGAUGUUGAUGAAGUGGUGGCCAUUGUUGAAGAAGAGAGAAGUUGCAGUCCGGUAAGUUGCGUCACCGGAGGCAGCCAGCGUGACAAGAUGAACAGGUAGUCUUCUGCGUGUCUCGUUCGUGUAAAGAGUCGGAUGUUUGGAUUAGGGGGUGAAUGUUGGAGUAAUCCAAACUGAAGUUGUUCUAGUGCUAGUCCCGUUAGGAUUAGUACUAGGAUGCGACCAACGUGGCCGUAUAAUUAGAUUAGGAAAAAUACUAAGUUGAGUCCGGCUAGGACUUGGGCCUAGCUAUCUAGCUGCGUUGGUACGAGUAGUACUAGGUCUUCUUUAGGUAUAUGUGUCAGGAGUAUACCUAAGUCCAACGCAGCUAGAUAGCUAGGCCCAAGUCCUAGCCGGACUCAACUUAGUAUUUUUCCUAAUCUAAUUAUACGGCCACGUUGGUCACAUCCUAGUACUAAUCCUAACGGGACUAGCACUAGAACAACUUCAGUUUGGAUUACUCCAACAAAUGGCGUCCACGUAGUACCACAUCUAUUGUUAAUGGGUUGGGUGCUACAAAUGUUACCAAACAUCAACCCUAGGUACACAGACUCUGCGCGUGUGGCCUUGUAGGGGCUCACCGCACGAGGCAUCUACUGAGGAGCAUUUCGGGGCAGAAUGUUGCCAAGGUCGUCAUCCCUUUAGUAGUGUGUGUAGAGGGGAGGGGGUUGGGGUUACGCCCAACCCUUAGUGAUGCACUGCCAAUUUACCUCGAGUUAGAUUAGCAAAUAAUACAUGUUGGCCCGAAUAGUAGCACUUCCGGGUUAACGCUUCUGAAAUGAAGCUAGGGCUAAAACUCAAAACAAUUGCUACACAUGGGUGUGUGCCCCAGAGUGGAUUGAGGUCUUAGUGAAUUUGGCCUAUAGGGCAUUUUACACUAAAUCUCGUAAAAAAAUGAAGGUGCUUGCUGUCCAAUGCCCACCUUUUUCGCUUAAGUGAAUUUGUGUUGUGCUCUUGUCUUGCUGAACAGCUGAAAUUACUACUCCCUCCGUCCGGAAAUACUUGUCGAAGAAAUGGGUAAAAUGGAUGUAUCUAGAACUAAAAUGCGUCUAGAUACAUCCAUUUCUCCGACAAGUAUUUCCGGACGGAGGGAGUACUAAAAUUAGUAUUUAUUUUAUGUUUGAAAUUUUUGGUCGGAAUGAACCUUAUAUUGAUGCUCAUUUACAUUGCUCCUGAUAUCAAAUGAUUUUAGAGCAACAUAGUUUCAUGCAUGUUUGUUUGAAAUGACCAGCGUAUAAGUUAGGAUAGAUCAGGGACUAGAAUAUUUGGCCUACCUGUGAGCUCUUUCGGUCUGGCCCACCUGGCCUACCAGCGUAGAAGUUAGGAUAUAUCAGCGUAUAAGUUAAUUGAGCUGAUAUUUGGCCUACCUGUGAGCUCUUUAAAUCUGACCCAGCUACAAUCAGCGUCUGCCACAUGAGGCUCAUGCUUCUAAUCUGGAUUAUGAACAGAUAGUCCGCUCUAGCUACUUUAUAAUUUGUGGUUCGUCCAUACAGGAGGACCUUCAUUUCCUCUUUGACAGCUGCAGUCCUGUGUUACUUAAACACCUAACGGUUCAGCAAGGGCAAUCACAUUGCCAUCCACGACUUCAUUGUUCCUUUUGUCGAUCUGUUAUGGACAUCACUUUUUUUUUCUCGAAUGCGCAGGAGAGCUGUGCAUGAUUAUAUUAAGAAGACAACCAUGCUACAUAAGCCCUCGCCGAACAAAACUAGAGUACGGCCAUCGACCAAAUAAACACUCACGGUCAUAUGCUACUAAGGCCUUUGGCCCCCGCCAUAGCAUCUCUAAUGUCUUGCAUGAGAAUGUGUGUGUUGGUGUUGUUCUUGAACAAAAAAGGAAACAGUUUCAGCCUGAAAUCUUUAUUCAUUGGUUAGAAUUUACAGUAUGUUGCUGCGUGUUAGUGCUUAUUUACCUUUCCAUGGCCUGGAGGUGCCAAAGGCCUAUUUUUGUUUGACCCACUGAUUACUUGGUCUGACCCACAACAAGAGCUAAGGGCCAGUUCUUUUGAGGUGCAGCUUAUGCAUAAGCUGCGAUGGGAAUAAGCCUCACAGAAGCUGCCUUGGAAAUAAGUCCAUGAGAAUAAGCCAUCCAGUUCUUUUGGGCUUUUGGCUUAUUUUCACAAUAAGCUGAAAUAAGCUGCAAAAGAACUGGCCCUAAAUGCCAUCCUGGACUAGGUUUGUGGUCAGCUCAGACCCUCUGACAUAACAAGUUUUUGAAGUGGAAUCCGAGGAAAGUGGAAGCUUAACUCAGUGUGAUUUUUUAGUUCCACGCGGCCCUUUGUACCGACUUAUGCAUACGGUGUUUUACAAUAUUUACUUUGGCCCUAAACCAUUCAGCCGGCUCUGGUUUUUGCUAAUUAGAGGUUGUGGGCAAGUGGAAGGAGCAUCCAAAUAUCUAAUCUGUUUCACAGAACUCCAUAGAGACAAAAGAGCUAAGGCUUGCGGCUGUAAGAAGAACCAAUAUCUCAUCAAUAAGGGUUCGAUACUAAUCUGGCCAUGGAGAGGACAGCUAACUAUCAUGUGAAGGUAGCAAAUUUUGGAGAAACUUAGUUGUGUGUAUCUGUUAUAAUGGGAAAUGUGUAGUCUUUGAAUUUUUACUUUGUAUGUCUUCCCAUAUUGGAAGGCAGUCUUCUAAUUGCGUUCAGUAGAACCUUGACGCGUGGCUUACGUGCUGUCCAAGUUAUGCAACUGGAUAUGUAGCUUUAGGUAUUGUCUAAUAUAUAUCUGCUAAGGAGUAGGUGGCCUAUGUUAUUGGAAUUCAAAAGAAACUACAGUCAUGUAUCGUGACUUCAGAUAUAAAAUGAAGCAGCUUGUCAUUUGUUUGAGUUGCUUCCAUUUCAGUCUGAACUCUGAAUGUAAUGGUCCCUUUGUCUGUGUGAUUGAGUCCUCGGAGAAAAGCCUCCAGGAAAAGAGUUAGUGUCGCAGAUGGAAGGAUAGUUUUAUUUCUAGUUCUUGAUACCUCGAGCGUGAUUCCAUGCAGGUUUAUGUGAUUGCAAAAUCUCAUUAAAUGCGUGAUAAUGCGUUCUGUCUUUUCUAGCUAAUGAUCUUAAAGAUUCCAUUCAGAUCAAUUACCCUGUUUGCCAAAUAGUAUUAGUAUUUCAUGUUGACAUCCUUAUAUAACUGAAUUUUUAAGGUUGUGCCAGAGCAAGUCUAGUCUUGAUUAUGGUUUGUAUCUGUUGUGUAUCUAUACAACUGUGUAAAGUAGAUUGGAAAUGCAGGAACCACCUUGUGUCUUUCCCUUUUAUUCAUGUUAAGAUUACAGGGGUUCUUUUGUGGAAAAUUUCAAACUUUUGUAAAAUAGGUUGUUGGAAAUGCAGGAACCACCUUGUGUCUUUGCAUUUUAUGCAUGCUAAGAUUUGAGGGGUUCUUCUGUAACAAAAUUUCAAACUUUUGUUUCAGGCGGCAAAAGGUGCAGGUGUGCCUGUUAUUUUAGAUGCAGGUGGGAUGGAUGCUCCUGUCCCCAGAGAACUACUCGAACUGGUGGACAUUUUUAGUCCAAAUGAAACAGAGCUAGCACGUUUGACUGGGAUGCCUACCGAGACUUUUGAACAAAUCAGCCAGGCUGCAGGAGCAUGCCAUAAAAUGGUGAGUUGUCUAAAUCAGUUUUUUUAUGUAGUUUGUUUCUCUGCAUUUCUUCUAUAUUCAAUUAUAACUUCUAAGUUUGGCAACGAAGUUUUUAGAGAACCAUGGUAAUUGAAAACCACAGUAUUCAGAUGUGCACACAACGAAUACUACAGUUUCUUGAAACCAUGGUUUUUCUCAGUUUUAGCAAAACUACCUAGGUGUUUGGCUGGUGUUGCUAUACUACAGACCGAUUGUAACGCUGGGUGACAUCUGAAACUCACUGAGCUACAUGACCUAACGGCCGCCGGGUGCAUGCAGCUUCUACGCACAAGGUCAGCUCGUCCGCACCUAUGUAGCACAUUUGCGUACUGCUAUGCUAACUAGGCAGGCGCAAGAAACAGAUCGAUCAGCCGGCCUUCAAUGGCUGGAUUAAUUUAACCAUGGGGUGCAUGAUUAAUCAAGAGCCUGUGGCAACUUAAGUUCAUUAAUCAACUAGAUUGAAGUAAUACAAUCCUAGGAGCGUGUUGCUAUCAUAUGUCUAUACGUGCAUGUACUCUGGGAGGCGGACCAAAAUUCUUUGUGCGUGUACGAUGCGCCAUUUAUACUGAAUCGGCUACCUAGCAUAUAUAUCCGGUUGCAUACAAGUGUUCUUCUAAAGGACCAAUCGAUCUAAUCAGUGCGCUACUAGUCCGAAAUUAAUCGACAGCUAAGGACUCCAUGGAGAAGCGUGCAAGAUCACUAGAAACUAAUCAGUGUUGUAAUCCCAUGCAGCGGCGUCAUAUCUAAUAUAUAUGCCACCCCUUGUAGCAGUCUUGCAAUCAGACUGGACAGAUGGAGGAAAAUUAGGAGACGAUCGCAGCUAAUAUUCUUAUCUCAACGUAGAUGGCAACGUGAAGUGCACUUUCUCUCUGUUCUGUUUAGAAAAAAGAGGUCUAGACCACUUUUUCAAAUACUUUGAAAAUACCACAGUUUUUAUAAUACUCCCUCCGUUUUUAUUUACUCUGCAUAUUAGAGUUGACUGAAGUCAAACGUCGUAAAGUUUGACCAAGUUUGUAGAAAACAAUAUAGACAUUUAUCAUAAUAAAUCUAUACGAUGUGAAAGUACAUUCAAUAAUAAAUCUAAUGUUGUUGAUUUGUUAUUGUAUAUCUUAAUAUUUUUGUUUAUAAACUUGGUCAAAGUUUGUAAAGAUUGACUUUGACCAAAGCUAAUAUGCGAACUAAAUAAAAACAGAGGGAGUAUUAUGGUUUACAAAACUUCAGUUUUUGUUGAAGCCAAACACAUCAAAGUAUUCAAAACCAAGUUUUUUUCCAGAAACCACGGUAUUCUAGAAAAACUACAAAAAUACUUUGCAUCCAAACGCACCCCUAAUUGUUGCUCUUUUGUUUCUUUUGAUUAGCCAUGACUAGAUCUUAAUAUCUUUAUUUAAGAAACUUCAAUUAAUGAUGUUGUGUUAUGGCAUUUAUCUGAUAAUAGCCAUCUCUAAAGAAUGUGUUGCUUUCCUUCCAUUCUCCCUUCGCGUAGGUCUGUGCACGUGUGUUUCCCGUACACCUAUUAGGAGUGUUGACUCUUACUGUUCUAUACAAGUUUUCAAGUUAACACUCCUAUGUGCUGUCCAAGUCUGCGUACAAGUGAAAUUUGCGAUUUGCAAAACUGUACAAACUUUGGAUCUUUAGUUCCUACCUGCAAAUCGGCUGCUAGUUACACAAAUUAUCAUAAUUCAGCAAGCUCCUGUAGUCAUUUAUAGUUUUGUACACUUUGGCUACUCUGUGAUAGUGGUCCAACAAGUACUUUUCGUGAAUGGCAGUGGGGAGCUGCUUGAAGCGAAUUACAAAUUAAGUACACAGGAAAGAGUAAUCAGUUAAAUUUCUUGUGCUCAGCGACGUGUUGGAGGGGGCAUGGCCCUCCCUGGUAGGCCCUAAGCAUGAGGAACGGCCCUAAGCUAUGUAGUUGUAAUAAUUCUUGCAUGUGUACAAGAAAACAGAUUUUUUGUAUCUCUAACAAACCGGCAGAGCGUACGUAUGCUAUUUUGAUUUGAAUGCCAAUCCCAUGGCAGUGGCUUGUAGAUAACAUUGGUAGUGCAAUCUGAAAAAUAACAACAGCAUCUGAUCACAGAAUGGCCAUUCGCCAAAAGUUCAGAAUGUGUUCAUAAUCAAGGUUGGCCCAUGAAAUCUUUGUGCUUAAUUCACUGGAAAAUCGGAAAAGCAAUAUCUGAUGUUUUUUGUUUGAUGCUGUCUGGUCUGAUGCCAUAGCAUAGAUAAGUCUAAUUGCUUCUUGUGUGUCCAUAGCCACAAUUUUAUGGCAGGCAGUGUAUUUGUCAGGAUAUUUUUUUUUGAAACUGGGCAAAAGAUUUGCCACUUUCAUUGAUUAAGAAGGAGGUUUAGAGUUUUGGCCACAGGCCGAAUUACAAAGACAUCACUCUCGCGGCACUACUGUACUCAAAUAUUUUGCCCCUGCAAGGCACCAAGAACCCCAACCGGCACCGCGGUGUUACGGAAGACGCGUGCAUUCCUCUCGUUCCAAAUUUCCCAUGAGAUCAACAUAAUAAGAGACAUCAUCGCCCGUCGAGACUGUGAUGCGUUGGAGUCAAUGAGAUUCCACCAGGCUUUCACCGAAUGGACCGUCACCCAAGCUGUAGGGUUCACAUCAACCAAGCCAAGCCAAGAUUUGAUCAUUUCCCAAACUCGGACCGUGUAGCGGCAUUGGAAAAGGAGGUGAGCCGCGGUUUCCUGAACUUGCUUGCAGAGGGGGCAGCGAUCACAGUUAGGCCAUCCACGGCGUUGGAGCCUGUCGGCCGUCCAUAUCCUAUUGUUGAUCACAAGCCAAGCAAAGAAUUUGCAUUUGGGGGGAGCCCAGAUCUUCCACACCAACUGUUGCAUGUUGGAGUCAACUAAGCCCAGGAACUGGACCUUGUAGGCCGAGGACGCGGAGUAAGAGCCAUCAUUAGAAAGCUUCCAAGAGAUAGAAUCAGCCACGUCGGGGUUGAGUUGCACCACAGAUAAUUUCUCCCAAAGGUUGACGAACUCGGUCAGGUUUGUAGCGGAGGUGAUCCCAUCUGUUUUGACUUGAGAGACCCAGAAGUUAUUAUCCAAAGCCUUCUGAACCGAACAUCCCCUUCUUUUUGAUAGGUCAAAAAUCUUCGGGGCGAUGUCUUUGGGUCUCAUGCCAUCUAGCCAAGCAGACUCCCAGAAGGAAGCACGAAUACCGUUGCCAAGCAACACGUUGGUGGCAGCAGCAAAAAUGUUUUUAUCAUUCUCAUCACAGGGGUUGCCCAAGCGAACCCACGGCUUCACCGGAUCCAACCAUUCUGCCCAAAGCCAUCGGAUACGAAGCGCGGACGCAAACUUCCUCAUAUUUAGGAUACCUAGCCCCCCAUGGGCCUUGGACUUGCAGACCUGUUCCCAGUUGAUCUUGCAUUUGCCACCGGUGACCUUGUCACAACCAGCCCAAAGGAAAGCACGCCGAAGAGAAUCAAUCUUUUCCAGAACCUCAAUUGGAAGGUUUAACGCUGUCAUAUAAUAAAUGGCAAUGGCCGUGAGGACAGACUUGAGCAACCAUUAGCAUGCCCAACCAUGGAGAAAUCUUGGACGCAAUCUUGUCCUCCAGGGGCUGAAAGUGAAUCCUACUCAACCUCUUGACCGACAAAGGCAGCCCAAGAUACUUCAUCGGGAAGGUAGAUCGGUUAGCCGAGAAGGGAUGCAGAAUAUCAUCAAGGUCCAAGUGAUCACAUCUGAUGGGGGCAACCAUGCUUUUAGAGCAGUUUGUGAUCAGGCCAGUGACCUCACCGAAACAGGCAAGGGUUUCCGCAAAAAAUUUGACCUUGGAUUUAAUUGGCGCAAAAAAGACCGCAGCAUCGUCCACAUAUAAGGAGGCACGGAUAACCAUCGCAUUUCCAUCAAGAGGGUGCAACUUGCCUUGCUCAGUGGCCUUUUGAAGGAUAUGAUGCAGAGGGUCAAUUGCAAGCACAAAGAGGAGGGGGGAGAGGGGGUCCCCCUGUCUGAAGCCACAACCUUGUGAUAUUGGACAUCCAGGAACACCAUUGAGAAGAACCCUCGACGAGGCAGUAGACAGGAGGGCCGAGACCCAGCCUCGAAAGCGAGGUGGGAAGCCCAGGUGGUUCAGCAAGUCGAGGAGGAAGUCCCAUCUGACCGAGUCGAAUGCCUUUUUGAUAUCAAGCUUGAAGAGCAGAGCCGGGGUUUUUCUGCGGUGAAAGCGUCGGGCCAGGUUGCGAACGUACAUAAAGUUAUCAUGGAUACAUCUUCUUUUGAUGAAGGCGCUUUGAGCUUGGGAAACAAGGUCAUUCAUGUGGGGAGCCAAACGGUUGGACAUGACUUUGGCGAUGAUCUUCGCGAUGGCAUGAAUCAGACUAAUGGGGCGAAAGUCAGAGAUGUCUUCAGCACCAUCCUUUUUCGGAAUAAGGGCGACAUCCGCAGUGUUCAACCAGUGCAAAUGGGAGGCACGGAGAUUUGAGAACCGGUUUAUAGCCAGCAUGACAUCAACCUUAAUUAUGGUCCAACAAGAUUUGAAGAAGGCCCCGGUAAAGCCAUCCGGACCCGGUGCCUUAUCGCUUGGCAAUGAAAAAACUGCGGUUUUGACCUCCUCCUCGGAGAUGGCCUCAUCCAACUCAUGAAGGUCGCAGUCUGGAAUAGGAAGAAUGUCCCAGUUGAUAUCUGUUUUGCGCGCGGGGCCUUUUUUAGUGAUGUUCUUGAAGUGACAGUGGAUAAUGUUCUCCUUAAGCUUGUGUUCCGUGACCCAGCCACCGUUGUGCUUGAGGCGGUGAAUGAAAUUUUUUCGCCUACGAUGGUUGACCCGCAAAUGGAAGUAGCGGGUGUUAGCAUCUCCUUCUUUCAGAUUAGUUAUCCUUGAAUUUUGCCUCUUUCUUGAUUUUUCCAAAACAGCCCACCCAAUGAUCUUCCUCUUUAACCUUCUUCGAAUAUCACAUUCAUCAUGGGAGAGUUCUCUAUGUUCCUGGGCCAAAUCGAGACGAAGGAUCACCUCGAGAGCCAUGUGAAGCUGGAUCUUUGCGUUUGAGAAAAGAGACUUGCUCCAGGAGCGAAGUCUAGCAGUUGUAGUCUUUAGCCUGUGGAAAAGCCUUUGGUAUGGCUCCACAUGAAUGGAGUCCUCAGCCCAAGCAUCAGCGACAACCUUUUUGAAUCCGGGCAUCUUAGUCCAGUAGUUCUCGAAGCGGAAGGUUUUGGGUUUCCGCGGGCCAUCGUCAUUAGCCAAUAGUAACGGGCAGUGGUCAGAGAGCGAAGAUGAUAAAGCAUGCAGAAUAUGGGAGCCGAACUCGAUAUCCCAGUUAUCGUUGCAGAAGAAUCCGUCGAGUUUACACAAUGUUGGAUUAGAGCGCUCGUUGCUCCAAGUGAACUUCCGGUUCUGAAGAUGAAUCUCUUUUAGUCUGCAAUUUGCAAGAGUGUUUCGAAAACGCACAAGACGGCUACGGUCAACAUUAGCUCGGUUUUUGUCUCUAGCACGGUAAAUUUGAUUAAAGUCUCCAUUGACAAGCCAUUUUGUUCCAUCAGGCGGCUUCUGGGAGGUAAGCUCGAGGAAGAAGUCGUCUUUGUGGAUGCUUCUGGUAGGUCCAUAGACCGUGGUUAACUUGAAAGUCUUUGCAUCUGAAGCAUUGUUGAGAGCAACCGUAGCAGAAAGAAAGUAUGUGCCAUACUGAACACUUGAGAUGGUUACCACAGAGUCGUCCCACAACAGUAAGAUUCCACCUCUAGUUCCAUCCGCCGGUCUGUGUGCGAAGUUCUUGAGGCGGUAUCCUCCCAGGUAGGCAGCCAUAUGAGGGUCGAUGGUCUGGAGUUUGGACUCCUGGAUGCAAACUAGAUGGCAGGAGGAGGCAGCAAUUGUUUCAUGGACGACGGACUGGCGAUCUGGACAGUUUAGACCACGAACAUUCCAGCACAAUAUAGCAAGGUUUUGUUCUAACAUGAUUGCACAAAGAUUACAUCAGUACAGUGCUCAAGGAACCACAACGACAACAAUGGUCUCGCCAGGACCAGCAAAGGCAGCACUAUGAUGCUGCAAACAGGCGUACAUCUAGCAAAAUUCAGUUCAACUAUCAUCAGGAAACUAAGCUACAACUAAGUAGCAAAGCUCAGGCCUCAGCCGCGGCAGCCUCGCUUGAGUCGGGUCCUCCUUCGCCUCCAUGCUGCAUCAGGGCUUCUUCUACCGCUGAGAAGAGAUCACAGUCCAGCUGGAAUAAAGCACGCAAGGCCGCGACAGCAAUAUCAGGGAGACGCCCUUGAAACAUAUCGGCAAACUUAGCAAUUGCCGUCUCUGUGACCUGCUCCCCAUCAGCAAGCACCCCCAUGCGUUGACACAGGAGUUGUUCAGCGAGCCUCGCAAUGGGCAUCGUCCUCUUCUUAGCACCAAGUCUGGGACUCUGACGCGGCAGUUGAAAGCCAGUGACUCCAGCCAUCGUCUUUCGGCGAGCGGUAGGACGUCUUGGAGGUGUCGAUCUUGGUGGGGGAGAUGGUAGGAGCGCUGGCAUGCGAGGGAUAAAAAUUGGAGUGGCAAUCUCUCUUUCUUCAACCGCAGCUUCAAGUUGGACAGUGGAGGCAUCAUGGAUUGGUGUUUGAUCUGAGCUAUCACCGUGGUUAUCAUCUUCAUGCGCAACUAUCUCAUCUUCAGGUUGAGCAGGAGACAUCACUGUAGUGUCAAAUUCCCUUUCUUCAACUUCGGCUUCAGGUUGGACAGUGUAGGCAAACUGGGUUGGUGUUUGAUCUGGGCUGGUACUAUGCUUUUCUUGAGCUUCAUCUUCAAGCACCACAAGCAAAUUUUUUAUUUGAGCAGGAGAGUGAGCAUUGCCUUGUGGGAGAUCAAAACUGUUACACUUGUUACGAUCUUCAGGACCAACUUCAAGGCAUGGUGGAGGUGUUUCCAUGGCAAAAUCAGACGUUGGAGUUGGGGUGGCCAACACAAACUCCGGUGUAACCGUGCCAUGCUCUUCACCAAGUGUCACGGAGGGUUGGAUCUUAGAAAUUCUGCUAGCAGUACCGCAGAGCCAUCCUAGACCACGCCCAGCAGUGUUGAUCUCGAUCACGUCGCUGGAGGUGGUGGUACGCGGGGAGGGCGGCAGUGAGCGUCCACGGCUCACCGUCCUGCACCCCUCAGACGAGACCUCCCUGGGAGGGUCGCACGCCCGGCGUCGACCGUCACGCCCGCGCUCUUCGCGCCCACGAUCAGCGCCGCGGUCAUCACGGCGUCCAUCAUCACGGCGCUCAGGAGCCCGUGAACGACUGCGAAAGAGGCCCCGCCAGGAGGAGGACCGCGGUCUGUCGUUGUCGCGUCCACGCCUGUCCUCCCUGUCACGAUCGUCAUCGCGUCGGUGCCGAUCAUCGUCAUCUCGGCGUCGAGGUGGAGGUUCAUGGCGGUCCCUUGCCCUGACCUCGCCGUCCACCACACCAUAGCGCCAGGUGAAGGGGUCUGUGCGUGGGCGGCGAGGGAUGUUUCCAGCGGCGUCGGGGGUGUAGUGCUCUAGCUUGUCAAGGUGCACGAUGGCGCGGCGACGAAGGCCAGCGUGCCCAAUGGCCGAGGACGGAGCUCCACCCACCCCAGUGGCCAUCCGGGGAGCGAUGGUGACAAGCUGCACCUUGGGGAUAGCUGAUGGAUUCGCUGACCAAACCCACAGCUUGAGGCAAGAGGCAUCUUCUUGCCGCAGCGUAGCGAUGUCGAAGUAGUGGAGGAAGGUAUCCGGACCAAGCACUUGAGCUGCCACGGCUUCGGACCAAGCAUUCAGGGGAAUGCUCUCGAUGCAGAGGUGGACAUGGUAGUUUGCCCGGACCACGUCGGCGUGAGCGUCAAGGCGCCAGUUGGUGGAGUGCAGGUCCAGGCCGUUGUGACGGAAGCGCCCCUCCGUCGUCACCCUGUCUCGCUGAUGCUGAUAGUCGAACACGGCGAAGAAAUCUUCAGGAAAGUGGGGAACGACCUUGACAUCUCUGAUCCCGAACUGCAUGUCGAUGGCUUCCUUGAUCUCAGCAGCGCUCACCACCGGUCUUGUACCGCCAAGCCAGAUGAGGGCGCCCAGGGAUGCAAGGGACGCCGCAUUAGCAUCCAUCUCCUGGGUGGAGACGAUGACCACACGGCCCUCCUCAGGCCGCAGCGACGGAUCGCCAACGCGGAGCGGCUGCCUUGACAUGGCGCGCGGCGGCGGCAGCGAAGCAGGCGAUGCAGAUCGAGGCGUGGCCGCCGCAGGAACCACCAAGGGGGUAGCAGAGGAAGGCGAGGUUGAUGCAGGGGACAAAGGGGAGGGUGAUGGGUCGUUGGUGCAGCCCCUCGCCCUGUGUCCGAUUCUUCUACAGCGACGGCAAGUGAACGGAUUGCGGCAGUCCACCUUACAGUGGCCUUUGAGGAGGCAGCGAUGGCAUUCGCGGUCCUGGAGCCUGACGAAAUCCUUCGUCCGCUGUGGAGGGGAAUAAGAGGAUGGGGCUUUGCGACUUGAAUGCCGGUUGUUGGGACGACCUUCACGCCACCAGUACGCUGGACGCACCAAAUGCCAUUCAAGAGCUGAGGAGACCUGUCUUGAAUUCUCCUCUGAAGGCGUAGGGCUCGAGGGCGCGCUGCAGUUCGCACGCCGAGCAGCAGCCUUGAAUGAAGCCGCUGGGGCGGACUUAAGGCAUGGCCGGUGGGCGCCAUGAAUCGGGGGAGGCGGCGUAAACUCCAGGAGCUCUGCAUUAAUGGCAAAGCUUACUUUGUGGGGCAGCUCGGCCUCCUCUGGAGCGCCCGCAGAGGCCUCGGCAGGGGCCUGGACAGGCAGGGACCGCAGAUCUGGGCGGACUGCGACCAGCUGGGGGAAGAUGGAUGCCACCAGAUCCGGGCGCAGGAACCGCGGGGACGGGAACCCCGGAGGGAACCGAGGGGAGGGCGAGGCUGAGGAGGCGUUGGGCGGGGAGGCCCGAGCUGUAGCGGCUGGAGCAGCGGCGGCGGAGGUGGCUGCGGGCGCCGGAGUGGCGCGUCGCAAGAGGGUGGGCGCUGGAGGCAUCUUCCGUGUUUGUCAGGAUAUUGAAGUAAGAAAAGAAGUGUAGCGCAUAAUUGAUAUAUUUUCUUCUUUUUACAGUCACAAAGCGAUGAAGUUGCAGACGUCUGUGUUGUUAUAUGUUGAUAGCAUUUGCCCCUAUUCCCACUUCAUGGCUUUCCAUUACCAUGUUUCAACAGUAUAUGGGCUUCAUAUUCCACUUUAAGCUGCCAGUACGAGGAUUUGAUUUACAACUAAUUGUUUCCUGUCAAUUCCCUGUUUUUGUUUACCUUAUAUUGUGGUUUCUUUACGAUAACAUGUUCAAAUUGUACUCUUUUGUUUGCUAUAAAGGCUAGCAGUUCCACUUGAUAUAUUCCAUCGGCGAGAUGCAUUGCUAUUUAAAUCUUCUACGGAAGCUCUGAAUGCAUUGAACCUUAUGGUAGGAGGACAUUGAUGCUAUUUCCUGCAUGCAGGGUGUGAAAGAAGUUUUGGUUAAACUUGGGUCACAAGGAUCUGCUCUGUUUGUGGAGGGAGAGGAGCCAAUUAGGCAGGCGAUAAUACCCGCCACAGAAGUAGUAGACACCACCGGCGCUGGUGACACCUUCACCUCAGCUUUUGCUGUAGCUCUGGUGGAGGGGAAGCCCAAGAAAGAGUGCAUGCGAUUUGCUGGUACUAAAAGCACGCUCCAGUCAAAUUGUUGGUUCUGAUCUAUUGUUGACAUGUUGAUUUGAGUUUCUUCUUCUUCUUGCAUUUCAGCUGCCGCUGCCUCACUGUGUGUUGGAGUGAAGGGAGCCAUUCCCAGCAUGCCUGACAGGGAAACCGUGAUGAGCCUUCUAGAAUCUGUGCAAGCUGAAUAACCGGAGAAACGGUGACUUUACCCUAUUCAUCAGCAAUAAUGUGAGCUGUUAAGCUUCAAUCUCCUCUUUCGGUUCAUUUAUUUCGGGUAUCUAUAUAUAUUUGUAGCCCCGUAAGUUAUGGUAGAGGAAAUAAGAGAAAAUGCCAUUCCUCGCGCCGCCCUCCGUAGAAACAGAAACACUGGUUCAGGAGUUCUAGGUCUGCUGUUUUUAUAGCCAUUCCCUGUUGCUAUGCCAUAGCUUUUUCUAUUGUUAUUAGGCAUCGCCCGUUAUCCUUCUCGACCUAAAUUUUUCCCGUUGUUAGAAGUCAUUAAACUUCACAAAACCGCCAUGCCCUGAAUGCAGGAAUUGCUUUUGCUGUGAAACACUGGUGACGGUGAAGGGGGUUAGUAAGGUGUCACUGUCUGGCUCAAAUCUAACAAGCAUUCCUUUGGCAGGAUCGGCUAAACAUCCGACGGAGCUCCCCCGGAACCCUCGUGUGCUGCCCCCGGCCCAGUAACGUGCUAGUUAGUGGUGGUCUCUAAAUGGAAACGCAUUUUCCGGGGCCUAUGCCGAGCAAAUCCCGCACCCUCGAAAUAAAAAAGGACACCUGAAUGGUUUCACUUCAGAGAGAUAGAAUGAGCAGUUUCAGGUUUGGCCUGGCGCUGAUGAGCUUUCCGAACUCCGACGGCGACUCCGGCACGGGUCAAUUCAUGAUCUUAUUGUUAAGCCGGGCCGAUGUUAACCGCUCGCUGCUAUCGACGGCCAUCAUCCGUCUUUUUCGAUCCAGUCGUGGCCCGCUGCCGAUCGCCGUCGCGCAGGCCCAUCGGCGCGGUUCACUCCCUCUCACCGCCAACGGUGAAAGAUCUCGCCGCUGCACCGUCGCUGCCGGAGAAACGACGCAUGCCUCGACUGAUUGACUGCUCCUAGCUAGUAAGAUCGUCCAGAAUCCAGUAGCCCAGCAACGUUUUUGCAGCUUCCGGGGGAUCUGAUCGUAUCUGAUGACGUACGCGUCGUCCGUCCGUCGAAUCGGACGUUCGAUGUGCCUCGCCGUACCCGUACGACGCCGACGGCCGGCAUUUUCUCGACGAGCCCACCGACAGCAAACGUUCCUCACGGCCUUCUGUUUUUCCUCCUCCUCCCAACUUCCUUCCCUUGUCUCGCUUUCCGGGAGUAUUCCCGGAAUGACCGUCCUUGGGAGGGAGAUAAUAAUAAUAUGUUUGUGUUUGUGGCUACUGCUGUGACGGAGCCAUCGCACGGCCGCUCGCCAUUAAGCUCGUCCGGGACGGUACCGCGGCCGAUGGCGUCGUGGUGGUGGCGGAGGCGGCCACUUUGAGUCUUCCUCAAGGCUGCAACCUGAAACGGAACCAACGGAUGGAUGGGUGGAUGGAUGGAUCGCUCAACAAAGGCGACGUCGCUUUCGCAGAUGGCUUAGCAAUCCAGCUUCCUCUCGCUAUGCAACACCGUCCGGAUAGUUAAUGCACGUGUCUUGUCACGUCUAAUGAAUCAUAUAUAUAUACCAAAGCUACCACACACACACGCACAUGCUUCCGUGCCGCGAUCACAUACAUACCUCUGCAGCAGACAGCAGUAGCAGCACGAGAGUAGGAGUAGUACUAUACGGGUGACCAAGGGGAAAGACAUACUUGACCGUAGCAGAGAUGUACGUAGGUCCAUCUCGAUCUUCUCGGAUAUCGAUCCCACUGGCAUUUUCUCUUCUUUUUGCAUGACUCAGGGCAGAGUCAGAGUCAGAGUCAGAUUGGCCGGGCCGGUCAAGAAGUGCGAUGCGAGACCGACCUUCCUUUCUAGCAGAGCAGCCGCCGGCCAUGUCGUUUGGAAGUAUGCAGCGGGGCGAUGGCCGGAGUUAUAACGGUGGCCUUGACCUCCCUUGCGUUCAAAGCUACUCCUACAUGCCUCUGUCCAACCAGUUUGUUCAAGCUAAGCCAAUCAAUGCACGACGUGACGCCUGCGGUCCAUCCUGCCUGCUCCCUUUUUUAUACUGUACCCCUCAAAUAAUUCUCAACUUACCCCCAUACCGUUCCGUUACACACGCAGGAAAUGUAUAGUCGGUUUCGCUUUGCGUAUACGAUCUCUGUACGAUAGUAAAAUCCUGCAUCCAAUAUUGAUCUGCCCACUUGAUCCAAGGCUGAUGGACUAGUGUUGUACGCCCAUCGUCUGAAAAUUCGUCGUACGUGUAGCGGGGCUCAUGGUCAUGGACAAAAGAAGACCAAGAUAACUCGCAAUUUAGCUAGUCCCAAGAUUCAAGUAUUUGAUCAACAGCCAGAGCAUAUUACUUUGGAAAAGUACAUAAUAGUGAAUGGUAUUGAGCGAAUGUUUCCUGGGAGUGGUUUUUAGGAAAGGCUCUUUUGAGAGUCCAACCCCGUGCGCAAAUCUCAAAGCGAUCACAACGUAGCAAUCCCCGUUUGCUUUCAUGCCUCCUCCUGAGCAAACGAUGUAAACCUUCUCUCUCAUGCAUCCUCCCUAACGAAUGGUGCCGUGUGUAGCAUGGCACUCCCCUAACUAUGAGUAUUAUGUCAAUUACUGGAAUUAUUAUGACAACUUCUCUGCGUAGCAUGACAAUUUCUGAACAUGUGCGCAACUUUCCCUUUUCUUAGCCUGCCAAUUCUCUCUUUGCAGCAUGGCAAAACCCUGAAACGCAUGGCAAUUUUCUCUGUUACAACGUGGCAAAUCCCUAAAACGUAUGACAAUUCGUUCUGCUAUAACAUGUCAAUUAUCACGGCAAAUCUAUCUGCCAUAGCAUGGCAAAUCUCUCUAUUAUAGCAUGCCAAUUCCUAAACAUUCCCUGGGAGUGAUCUCUUGAGGAACACUCUUUGAUCGAAUGAGCCUCCCAGAGUGAAAGAUCGUUCGCGCCAGGAGGGCACGUUAGAAUCACAAAAGUAAUACCAUCGUUUUUGUUUUUUCCACGGUACUAAUUUCCCAUCGCCGUUUAGUUACUUUUGUAUCAGAACACCUGCAUUUUAUUUGUCGGUUCUGGUCAAGCUUGAAUGGUAUCUUAUAAAUAUAAAAAAAACAGGAGGAAUACGAAUUAAUCCUAAUUAAAAUUGUGAAAUUCUUUAGCCAAGAACUGAUCAAAGCAGUACAGCUAGUGCUCACCAAAUUAAUACUAUACACCUUUCUCCGGUGAGUAUUAUAUUAUGUUACUGUAUGUGCUCCUGCUCAAGUUGGACAUCAAGAAGGCUUUUGAUUCAGUUAGAUGGGAAUAUCUUCUCGACCUAUUACAGAGGAGAGGUUUUCCUUCGAGGUUUCGUGAGUGGAUCACGACCCUUCUUCGGACAUCUACAUCGAGGGUUCUUCUCAACGGUGUUCCUGGCAAUCCUAUCCAGCAUGGGCAGGGCCUCCGGCAGGGGGACCCAGUGUCUCCCCUUCUGUUUGUCCUUGCUAUUGACCCCCUUCAGCAAAUCUUGGACGUGGCAACAGAGAAUGGAGACCUACACAGAUUACGUGGCCGUGGUGCCCGCCUUCGCACCUCCCUAUACGCGGACGACGCUGCCAUAUUCUUGGUGCCUAUCAAGGAGGAUGUGGAUAUGCUUGCCACCAUACUUCAAAGCUUUGGAAACGUCACCGGCCUAGUUACGAACAUUAACAAGAGUUUGGUGGCCCCUAUUAGAUGCUCCAAUGUCGACCUUGACAUGAUUCUGGGUGCCUUCCCAGCAGUCAGAGCUCAGUUCCCCUUGCGAUACCUCGGCCUUCCGCUAUCCAUUCAUCGUUUGCGGGUUGUCGACUUCCAGCAUUUGCUUGAUAAGAUUGCUGGAAAGAUCAUGAUUGGCCAGGGAAAGUACAUUACGAUGGCUGGGAGGAGCACGUGGGUAAAGUCAGUUAUCACUUCGCAGGCCAUCCACCAUCUCACUUCGCUUGUGGUGCCCAAAGGAAUGAUGGCAUCCAUCGUCAAGCUGCAACGGGCUUUUCUUUGGGGAGGCACGGAUAAAGUUUCUGCAGGCAAAUGUAAGAUAAGAUGGGAGAAAGUUUGUACGCCCAAGGACAUGGACGGCCUAGGCAUCCUGGACAUGGAAAAACCCGCACGUGCCUUAUGGCUUAGAUGGCCUUGGUUGGUUUGGAAGGACGCGGAAAGAGCUUGGGUUGAUUUGGGGCAUCCGUGCGAUGAAGAGGACAUGGCGCUGUUUUAUGAGUGCACUUCCAUCACUGUUGGCAACGGGCAAAGGGCCUCUUUCUGGCACUCCCCUUGGCUUGGGGGUCGCAAGCCAAAAGACAUGGCUCCCUCCAUUUUUGCAAUUUCCAAACACAAGAAUGACACCAUCCAUAGGGCUUUGGAUCUCAACAAGUGGAUUGCCAACAUCAACACAAACUCUGGGCUCACAAUUCAGCACAUCCUUGAAUACUAUGAGCUUUGGGUUGGAUUACGAGAGGUCUUCUUUGAUGAGGGGGUGGAUGAUGAGAUUGUUUGGAAGCUUUCGCCUUCCGGUGAGUACACGGCAUCGUCGGCUUACAAAGCUCAACUCGACGACUCCACUACAUCGAAAAUGAAGUCUGCAGUGUGGAACAAUUGGGCGCCGCCAAAGCAUAAAUUCUUCGCUUGGCUUAUCAUUCAAGACCGUGUUUGGACGGCGGACAGGCUUCAACGGAGAGGAUGGCCAAAUUGCGGCCUAUGCCAGUUAUGCAAGAGGGAGCCAGAGACGGCGGCACACAUCAUCUUCCGCUGUCGAUACACGGUACGCAUUUGGACGAAGAUCAAGACUUGGAUGGGUUUGACUGAUGUGGACAUCAUCGACUGGAGUAACUUCAACAGCGUCAACGAUUGGUGGCAUCACAUGGUAGGCGUCAAUGGCAAUGUGAGAAAGGGCCUCGCAUCUCUCGUCAUGUUGGUUUCAUGGGAGAUUUGGAACGAGCGGAAUGCGAGAGUAUUUAGGAUGGUGUCCUCCAUGCCAAAUGUAAUCACGUCUAGAAUCAAGGCGGAGGUCAGACUUUGGGGGUUGGCAGGGACCAAACGGCUGAGUUCUUUUAUGCCACGAGAGUAGGCUUAUCGGUUUCGGGCGUCUACGGGCGGUCGGUCAUGUAAUUCAAAACUCUUCUUAAUUAAUGAGACGAGGCAAAUUUUUUGCCUCCGUUUUGGAAAAAAAAUGUUACUGUAUGUUGUAUUGGUGUUGACGUACACGUCUAUUGGAUGUGGACUUUGAACACGAGUCUACGCCGUAGAAUUUAUAUUUUGUGCCGGAGAAAAAGAAACGCUCCAUCGUAUCGCGGCAUGCAAGUUGGUGCACACCUUGCACCUUGGCCUUUAAUGCUUUUGACCUUCUAGACUAGUAGCUAGUCCGGUUCUGGUAGCUAUCAGCAGUUCAGCACUGCCCAAUGUUGCGUCCCAGGACUUCCAACCUGAUUAACCUGCUGGACCAUGUCUAAACAUAUUAUAAUACUACCCAAAAAAAAGCAUUCAUCAAACCCCAAAAGGGCAAAAGUAAUACUACCAUGAAUUAUGCAUAUACUGUUAGUUUCUCUUGCCUUCACAACACCAGUUCAUCGAUCAACAAGUCCGGAAUGGAAAACGUAGGAAGUUAACAAAGCUUAAUCAGUGACACUUAUUUUGAGACGGAGAGAGUAUUAGUUUGUCUUGGCCUCACAAUACCAGUUCAUCAAUCAACGCGUCCGAAAUGGAAGAGAAAGGAAGUUAACCAAGCUAGACAGAUUCAAGAACAGUGCAUAUCACAUGUAUGAUCUCAUUGCUCCGAAGAGCGCUGCAAUUGCACUCUCUCGUAGUACAAGAGGUACAUACAAAUGAAUGAGGAUAUGGAUGUAACUGGUCCACCAUCUUCUUGAUUAACUGGCUGGGAGUAAAACAAAGGCAGGGAGCGAUCAUGCCAUGGCUUUGACGAUUUCUUGCACUGUGUCGAUAUACACACUGUGCAAGCAUCUUAGCCCAGCCGAUUAAUUGGAUGGCCACCAAAGUAGAUUUCCUCUCGAUGGACAACCUUUAAUUAAACAAACAUGAAUUCUGUCACAUGUGUAUUAAUGUUUCUUCCUAGCUAGACAAGUUUGCUAAAGCUAAAGGUACUGGUACUUCUAUCCCAGUGGGUUAGAAAGAAUCUGUGUGCUUGAGACUGUACUAAUCGUCCUCAGCUAGCUAGAGUAGUAGAGUACAAAGAGCCAUUUAAAGUGUAUGUGUGUGUGUGUGUGUGUGUGGCUAGCUGAAAUAUUUGACUUUCUACAGCUACAGGGACCAAAUUUUAAGCUACAUACUAGUACAUCAGAAUCGACCAUGCAUCCAAUUUGUUCCACACUUGCUGCUCAGAUCAAACCUAGCUAUAUUUGACCAAUUAUUAGGAGUAUAUAGGAUGGAGUAUUUCAAAUAAACAUUUCCAUAAAUAAACCUAAUACCACAUACUAUUGUGUUCAUUGUUUAGUCAUAAUAUUUAAUAUUAUGAGGUAGCAUUGGAAAGGGUGGAAAAGCUUAAAAAAGGAUAUCCGGCCCAUUCCACACAAAUAGCGAAAUGUCACAUGUCAUCAUAGAUCUAGCUAAUUGACCUACUCUUUUGUCCAUGGUAGAUAUAUCGAUGCAAGCAAAAAUAUCUGUUACUAUAUUUCAUGCUACAUGCAUGUCUGACCAGUGCACAUUGCAUGGAACCAAAAUUUGGAAGGCGUCAAUCAUGCAUGUCUUUUUUUUAUGGGAAGACGUCAAUCAUCUAACCGACGAAAUAGCAACUGAUUAGUCAGUAGAUAAAUUGACUGCUUCGCAAAAACAAAGCAAAAAAAGAUACAUUCACUGUUGCUAGCUCUAAACCCCAACGUGGUGAGCACGACUGCACGUACGAGUCAUGCAUCACCGCACAGUUCAACAGUUGCACCCAAGCUUCGUCUAAACUCCAAAUUUAACACCCAAAUUAACCACGUUUGAAUUAGCUAGGUUCACAUCAAUCGAUAUAUCAUAUUAGAUGGAUCAUCGAUUUUUCUCCAGCUAUUACAUACGUAGUAUGACUCAGGCAGACAUGGACCGUAACGUGCAUCGAUCAGUGACUACAUCCAAGUUUAAUCUUGCACCAAUCAUAUGUACAUGUACAGAAACCACACAAGCAGGGUCUCCAGUGCAGGUAGGUUCACAUCACUAUGGAUGAGUAAUGAUAUCUACACCAGCUCGCUAGCUAGCUAGGUAGCGCCUGGAGCGAGCGAGCGACCUGGUCAAGUGAUCACUACCUGCAAGAAAGAAGCAAGCAGCAAAACGACCCUCACUGCUUUUUCCCUUAACAACUCUUUGUACCAACCACAGGAACAAUCCCAUCACGGGUUCAUGACAAGUUAGCUAGCCAAGAUCGUUGUACAUAUCGAUCUUCUUCUUGCCACAAUUGCCACCAACAGCAAAUUAAUGAAGCCUAUCAUGCAUGAUCGGUUGCCAUGUAUGCAAGAAACCUUAAUACCAUACCAAACAUGCAAAUGGAUAUGCGCAUUCUUAGUACUGUUGCAUUAAUGGAGCCAGGGGAAACACAAGGAGCAUAAAAUUAUCAUACAUAUAGCUCAUGCAUGCAUGGCCAGUACCGGCGACAGAGUGCAAUAUAUGCAUGAGAUGGGGAAUUAGGUACUUUCAUGUACAAGAACUGCUAGUACACUGACUACUACGAGAGCUAGAUAGCUAGCGAGCUAGAUCCAUCGAAAUGAUACGAGGCCCAGAAAAAACUCAUUCUGUACCAUCUCGCAGCACCGGAUUGAUCGAGGAAGGAAACAAAUCAAGAAGUGAAGGCAAUCAAGGAAAAACAAGAUCGAUUGGGGGAUGUUAAUAAGGCAGCAAGAACC
rnacentral:lncRNA from 1 species